UUUUAUUUUUUUAUUUUUUUGAUUUGAUUUUUUAUUUUGAUUUUAUUUUAUUUUUUAUUGAAUCUAAACUCAUAGGAUUAGGCAAGUCCUUGUUAUCCCUUUCGAUCAGAAUCAAAGUUUUUAUAGAUAAAGUCUUCCACAUUAGGUCUUCUACUUUCAUCUUGUAUGCAAAAAAUCUUCUUUGGUAUCCGAUUUCUUUCAUAAAGCCUUCUAGGGCGAAACUACGACAGAAAACUUUGGAUCUUCCUCUUCAAUUAGGAUAAAAUCCAACAAAAACUUGAAGAGAUGGAAACUCGACUUCAAAUGGGCAAAGCUAUGAUGAGUCAAUGAGAAAGGUUUGCCCCGGCAAAGAAUUUUCAUUGCAUCGUUCAUAAUGUUAAUCUUGAACAUACUACAAAUUUCUGACAUCGUGCUGUUGUGCAAAUUUCAUUAUCAGCGCUUACCCCGGGCAUAUCCUGGUACGGUCAUACAAAGACAUCUUUGAACUCUAGAGGUAACUCAACAAGGUCUUGUUUCGCUUUUUUGGCUAUGCAUGUUCUUGUUUUACUACUUUUCCCUCUUUCAAGGUCACAAUCUCCAUUGUCUCCUCUUGAGGCAAAAUUUUCCUUCCUACUCUAUCAUCCUCAACAAGUCCGAUGAUAGGCCACAAUAUAUGACAUUUUCAAAGUCAUAAAAUCCCUCUAAACACAUGUCUCACUCAAGAGGAGGUUUUGAGUCUGUAGCAGCGUCAUUCAUGUCAUUAAUAUCUAGGGACCAUUUGUAGAUACAAAAGAAUAUACAAAGAAUAUAUGAAUUUACGAAUAACUACUUGUACAAUAUGAUUAUGAAUGAAUGAAUGAUUUGGAAGAAAAUCCAAAAGAAUCAAAGAAUCUAGAAUUAUUUGUAAUGAAUGAAAAUAUUAGCUCAAAAAUAAUCGCAAAGAUGUAUUUCAUUAAAAUAAUAACGUUCAAACAUGAGCCUAUUUCACAAAUAAGUUCUCAUUGCUUCUAGACUAAAAGCAACAAGUGUGUUCUGAAUAUUAUUCUAAAUAAGCUCUAAAUACUAUAGGGAUUUCUUUUGCAGUACAAUUGCUUAAAACACUCCUAGGGUUAUAAGGGCGGAUAUCUAACAAGGUCCCUUCUUAAGUUGCUUUUUCAUAAAUAACAUCGAUGCGAACAUUUCCCACCUUUUUCAUACAUUGCAUUCACUCCAUUAUAAAUUAUGAUUGGGUAGUGGAUUUUCUGUACUAGAUGAGUCAUCAAAUUUGACAUCUCCCAUACUGAUAAGCCUUUCAAUUACUUUUUUAAAAGCAAUGCAAUUUUCUAUGGAAUGCCCCGUAAUUCCCGCAUGAUAAUCGUAUUAUGCAUUCAUGUCGUACCAUUUGGGGUACGAAAGCUGUGGGGGUUUUGAGUAGAAAUAAGUAACAAUGUACGCAUCGAAUAAGCUCUGAUACAGCUCCUUAUACGCCAUCAGAAUUGGUGUGAACUGGAGCUUUUCAGUGCCUUGUUUCACACCAAAUUCUUAUCUUGAUGAACCUUGUUGACUAGCAAUCACCUUUCUUGGCUGAUUCAUUGUAAUCGAUUUGUUGUAUGUGUUCACAUUGUUCACAUUGUUUUCCUUCUUCUUUGAGGCCGACCAUUUAUUAUUCUCCCUACCAUCAAUCUUUCCACUUCUUACGGCACUUUCAAUCAUUUCACCAUUCAUGACUAUGUCAAAAAAGCUUUUUGUAGCGCUUCCUAACAUAUGUGUGAUGAAUGGGGCUUUCAAUAUAUUGAUAAAGAGCAUUGUAGUUUCUUUUUCUAGGAGCGGCUGCUGAACUUGGAUAGUGACUAUAGGAUCGUCGGCACCCCUACGGCGCAGCGGAAAAAUUUAAUAAAUCGGCGACCCUAACCUCGGAUCCAUGUAUGAGGAACGAAUCGGGGUGAAAAGGUUGCGAAAUUACUAAUAUUUAUUCUAAGUAGACAGCAACUUCUCAACAACGUGUAGUCUGAUCUACAGUCGAACCAAGUCGCAAUCUAUCGAGACUCCGACCUCUACGUAAUCCACCCAGUUGACUACAAACGGAAGAAAUCCCCCAAACAGUUUUUAGUUUUAUUUUUCUUUGACUACUGCUAGACCUAAAAACAAAGAAAAAUGGGAUUCUUAUAUAUCCUUUUAUUUUAGGGUUUUUAGGAAUUAAAUAAAUAUAUUAAUAGUUUAAACCAAAAAUUAUAAUUACAUUAAUUAUAAUAUAAUUUCGGUAAACCAUAUAUAUUUAUUUAAAUUCAUAUGCUAACCAAAUUCAUGUCCUCAUUAUGCGUACAACAAACUUGUACAUAAUGUGUUGGAAAUUUGAUUACCGAAUUAAAGUAAUUCUAUAAUUAAUUUAAUUCAAGCGACACCCAAAACCAAUAUCAACUAUGGUUUAUUCCGUUCAUUUCAACUAUAGGGUGUGACCCUGUAGGUUCCUGUAAUGUUAGCAGUAAUACUAGAACAAUUCCAAUGUUACAAACAAUGAGUGGCAUCUAGCAAUGCAUCAUUGCUACCUAAGUCACAAGAGAUCAUGAUUCGACAUAACAUUUUUUAAUGAUUAACAUUUUAUGCAAUAAUCCUUAAGUCCUUUAUCUCUGGAUUGGACACAAGUCAUGGAAUAGUCACACUUGUAUAGUCCAUUCCAUGUUCCUUGAUAUCUUAAGUAGACUACGAUAUACAAAUAAGUAUGACAUCUCAUAUCAACUUAUUUGAGCAUGGCCAUGCAUUUCUAUUCUCACUUAAUCAAGUGGCCUAAGAUAUUACUCCCAUUAUGUAGGAGGGACUUCUUCUGUAUCGACCAACCAUAUCCCUCUACAUUGAUUAUGGUAUAUCCAACAUCAGCCUUUAUAGAACAACCAGUUACGGUGUACAUUUGAUUGUAUCAAAAUAUACUACUCACGAUGUUGGGAUUAUGAUGAUCUCAAGUCUGAGGAUCAUAUACAUAUUAAUCACUAUGAGUAAUGUCGUGACAAUUACAUAAUAAUCCAAGAAACAUACUCAUAAUGGGUCAGUCCAAUAUGUUGUUCUCUAACACACAUAUUCAUGCAUCGAUUCUGACAUUCCAUAUCAAUGACAACUCUUUAUCAUCAAUCAACUACAUGUUAGUCUUAAUGCAUUAUCGUUGUCCUAUCCAACAAUAAUAAUUGACUAAGGAUCUUUUAAGAAUAAUCAUAUUAUUCUUAGGACAUUAUUAUAAAACAGUUUAUUUAUACACACAGAAAAGAAACUGAAAUAAUAAUGGUAACGCCUUAUAUUAAUAAACAUGAUCAAUCAAGUAUGUUAUUACAACCAUCUCAUGAUUGAUCUUUGGGCAUACUCUAACAGCGACUUCCCUCCAUCUUUGUGCGUAUUGCCUAAAACUCUCUCUCAGUUUCUUCUCCAUGUUUUGUAACAUAAUUCUAUCAGGGGUCAUAUUUGUUACAUGACUGUACUGUUUCAUGAAUGCCUGUGCUAGGUCCCUUCAUGAACCAAUCUCGAUACAACUCAAUUGAUUGUACCAUUUAGAUGCCGCCCCUACCAAACUGUCUUGGAAACAAUGUAUUAGCAGUUAAUCAUUGUUGACGUAGCCAGUCAUCCUUCUGCAGAACAUGGUGAUGUGAGCCUUAGGGUAACUAGUUCCAUCGUAUUUUUCGAAUUCAGGCAUUUUGAACUUGUGAGGAAGUACUAAGUCUAGAACCAAGCUCAAAUCUUUAGCGUCGAUUCUAUGAUGACUAUCAAUACUUUCCAAGGCUUUAAAUUUUUCCUCCAACCAUUUACAUCUAUCCUCCCACUAUUUUGGCAGUUCCACAUUUGCCUUCUCCUCUUCAGCUACUUUAUCAAAAUGAGGAAUAAUAGGAUUAAUCGGGUUAUCUCUCGGGCUUAAACUUGAUCCACCUUGGAAAUUCAUGGGCAUCGGGGCAUCAGAUUAGAGUUGUUGAGGCCUAAUUGUGACAGGUGGUCUCUUUGGGUACAUUUCAGCUCGAGUUUGUGCAUUUGGUGGAGUAAAACCCGGAGGAUAUAACGAAUCCUCAUUAUUUUCUGCGGGAUUGGCCAUAGGGCCCUUUCCCUUAUUUACUCCUCCCGCCAGUAGUUGGGUCAAUUGAACCAUCGUAUCUCUUUGAGAUUCCAUCAGUUUUUCUAUCAUGUUUUCUUGGAUUUUAUCUAGCCGCUCUUGCAUUUGCACUUGUAACUGUUUUUGCAUAUCCUUUUAAAGCCACUCAAGCUUUUCCAAUCUUUGAUCCGUGUUUCUUAACUUUGUAUUGGUACCGUAAGGGUGUUUGGUUGGUUGGUUUUCUAGAUUAGCUGAAAUAAAUUUACUCAAUUAGACUCUUUUAGUGGAUUUUAAUGCAUAUGAUGUCAUGUAAUGCAAAUGCAUGAAAUGAAUGGCUAAAUAGACGUUGGUUCUGAUUGAAUUACAUUUAGAGACCUUUGCUAGAAGAUAAAUUUCUUUACAUAAAGCGGAUAUAUAUACGACUUUGCCCUCAUACCCCAGGCAAAGACAUCUUCUCUUUCCUCAUCUGGAUGGUAAGAUAAACCUUGCGAAUUCUUCAAAAUGGGUGUCUCCUUUAUCUCCUUCUUGCUUGAUCCUAGUUGAGAUCCAUCAUCUGCCUAUCCUCGUGAUGCUCAUCAGCUUCUUUAAGGAAGUUGGAAUGUCGAAGGCUCUCGGAUGAUCAGCUUGAAUCCUCGAGCCAUGAAGUAAAGUCAGGCAUUCCUUCAUUACCCUUCUUGUAUUUCCCGAAAUAUAUUUAGGCAGCCAUAUUAUCUUCCACUUUAUCAAGAAAUUCAUUUUCCAUGACAAGCUCUCUAAUUUAGUAAUCAAACUUGAAUCCACACCUCUUUCCUAAGAUGCAAAUGCAAUAAAAACAAAACAGAAAUGAGUUAGUACAAAGUAAAAGCAAACAAGAGAAUAAAAUAGAGUGCCUAAUCGGGUGACCUCUAGGGGUUUGGCAUAGUUCUAUCUAGGGCUAGUUCCUAAGGUUCACUAUAUGUGGUUUGGCUUCUAGAGAAAAGGUAACUAAACCAUCAGAUUCCUCAAUCCUCACCCAUUAUAGGCUCAUACGGACUGAGUUUAGUUCAGGGGAAUACAUUUCCCUAUGGCUGCACGGAGAUGAAAAUCUCACGAAGACAUAGGUACGGAUAUAUUCCGAAAGUGAUCCACUAUCCUGCACGGAGGUGAAACCUCACGAAGGAGUAGUUUCUCACUUUCACUUAAAAGGUAAGACUAAACAGUCUUUAUGCAAUAUGAUGCCAAAAUAUAGAACUUAAUCCAUAGUAAUCAAUCACAAACAAAUGCAAUGAGAGGAUCGUAAUUUUUCAAAUCAAAUUUUAAAUUUCCAAUAAUAAGACAAAAAACAAUCAAUUUUACAGCUUGACUCUCUAAGGUCCCCAGCUGAGUCGCCAAGCUGUCGAAACCAUUUUUUAGAAAUCAAAAAAUUUGGUUGUCGACUUAUUAAAAAUGAAAAUUGGAGUCACCACCGAUCUUUUAAUGAGGUGUGAUCGGAUCACCUUGAAAACGAUUUUAGGUCUACGAACUUUGAAAAAAUAGGUUUUGGAGUCGGUUACGCACGAGGAAGGGUUAGAACCCUCGUAACGCCCAAAAUUGGUACCGAAUUGAUUGUUUAAUGUCUUAGUGUCGAGAAUUUGAAAAGAUUUUAAAAUAAAAUCAUUUGAAAAGAAAAUUUGAAUAAAAUGAAUUGGAUGAUGAGACUCACUUAUUUCAAAGAAAUAAAUUGUCACACUCAGUAAGUUAGAGUGCAACAUUUUAAAUCCUCAAAAUUAAGUUUAUCUUUUGAAUUUUAAAACCUAUGCAUUUGAGAAGGAUAUCUGAUUAUUUGGAUCAAAUAAAAAAAAUCAAAACCCAGUAAGUUAGGGUUCGAUUUCACAAAAUUCCUAAAUACUAAAUAUUGCCUUUGUUUUUAUUUAGAAAAAUCCUCGUCUCGAGAAAACAACAUGUCAUAUCCAAAGCGUUAGGACACGACGUAUCGAAUUCCCGAGAACGAGCUUUUUAUUUAUGUGUUUUGAUUAAAGAAUAAUCUCGAUUAUUUAGACUCAACAAGGAAAAUUGGAACCCAAUACGUUAGGGCUCAAUUCUUUCAAAGAUCCCAAAUACUGAACAUUAUGUUAUCUUGAAAGUUUUGAAUGAAAUGAUUUUGAUAUUUAAACGAUAUUAGAGGUAACCUUUUAAACAAAUAAAGUGUGAUGGAUUGAUAAAGGAUGAUGCAAAAUAAUAAUUUGUAAGUCACAAUGUAUACUAAUAAAUGAUAGAUAAUGAAAUAAUAUGGACAAGCAACACAAUAUGCAUAAUAGCAAUUGUCUCACAUAAUAUAUCCUUGCCAAUAUUAACAAAUAAAAGCUAAAUGAAUUGGAAAAUUAAUAUCGAAUGAAACAUCAUGCAAACUAAUACAAAAAACAUAACGAAGAAAAGAAUUGAGAAUUGUAUGAAUAAAAGAAUUUAAAUAAAAGGCACGAAGAUUUGAAAUAUAGAAAUAUCAAUAAAAGUAAGUAAUAUGUAAAUGAAUUUUAAAGUGUAAGUGGUAUAAAAUGAAAAUCAAAUAAAUGGUAUAUACAUAUUAAAUAAGUAAUACAUAUAAAAUGACAAUUUAAUAUGACAAAUAAUGUAUACACAUAAUAAUAUGUAUGAAAGUAUUUUAAGAAUAUUAUCAUAUAAAUUUUUAAAGUUUAGAAGUAAAUAAAAAUGAAUUUUAGAAAUAAAUAUAUUACAAAGUAAUAUUUAAAAGGUUGUGCUCAAAUUAUUAAAUUUAUAUAUAUAAUAUAAAAUAACACAUAAUGAACUUAAAAAAUAUAUGAAAAAAAAACUUAGAAGCAAAUAUAUGAUAAAUUGAAGCAAUAUUAAGGAAUAACAAUACAUUAGAAUAAUAUUGAUGAUAAAUUUAAAAGUAAUAUUAAGCUUAGAAAAAUAAUAUUAGAUUUAAUAUUAAAUAAAAAAGGGUCGGAAUAUAUAUAUAUUUAGAUAAAUUUAAAAAAACAUUAAGCUAAAUUAAAUAAGACUAAACUGAAUUCAAAACAAAAUUAGGAAGAAAAAAAAUGAACUAGAACAAAAUAAUGGGCCAAUAUAUAAUGCGCAAAUGACAUGGAGGACUAAUCAGAAAUAUUUCCCGCCCUCUCAAAACGCAGCGUUACAUUGGAUUAAAAUGAAUCAAAAAUAAAAUAAGAGAUUAAUUUUUUAAAGAAUAAAAGGACUGGAUUUAAGUGCGCUAGAAAUGCAGAAGGACCGCGUGCGCAAAUAACCCAUCUUUAUGAAACACGCAGAUCCUCCUCGGGUCGGGUCAACACAUGGAUCGACGGCUACUAAACAAUGUCAUUUUAAGGCCACUGAAGCAGGCCUUAAAUGACGUCAUUUUUUGCUCUAUAAAAUCUACCAUGAUAGCCGCAACAACACCCUCGGCUCUCUUCGUCGUUUCGAACCUCCUCCAACUCCGAUUUCACCGGAGUGAACAAGGAUUCCGACGUCGCACAAGGGUAAGAUCUUCUCUCUUCCUCUCUUUUGGUUUUUGGUAAAGUAGUAAAAACGAUUUGAAAAGCCUCAGAAAAUGAAAUCUGUGCUUACUCUUUUUAAAAAUCGGAUCUAUUAUUUUUUUUUUGUUCAUAAUAGAAAUCAAUCAAAGUAACAAAAGAAGAAAAAAAGUGGAAAUCGGAGAAUCACCUUCGUUUUUGUUUCUGUAUUUUCCUUAUAAUAUCUUCGUAAAAAAAAUACAGGGUUCGAAUCUUGGCUUAUAUAGCCGAAAAUACAGAAUAAAAUAAAAAGAAAAAACUACAAAGUCCUAUUUUCUGUUAUUCAUUUUCGCUAUUUUUGUUUCUUUCUGUUUCGCUGUGUGGGUGGUUUUCUGCAGGUGUACAAAGGCCGUACGGUGACGUGGAAGGUGGUGCUGGAAGCUGUUGGGCGCACGGCGGCUAGGGUAGAUAGCGUUUUAGGGUUUCUUUUUUUGUUGUAAUCGGGUUUGGGUUAGGCUAAUUUGGUCUGGGGUUGGCUGAUGGGUCUGAUAUAAUUUUGGGCUUUUAAUUUUUGUUUUAAAUUAUUCGGUUUAUUAUUUCUGGCUUGGGCCCCAUUCAAAAUGGGCCGUUUACACAUAUCAUUAUAACCAAAACCAAGACAUCCAAGAUUAUCGAUAGAAUUAAUGGACAGUGUGAUAAACAUUCAUACAUCCAUUCAAUACAUUAUUCCCUUUUUUAUCUAAUAUAUCAAUGUUUCAUCAAUUUUCGUACAAUGAACAUUCAAAUCAUAUUCACACCGAUAACAUACAUUCCAAGCAUUUAAGAAUAUAAUUCAAGUUACACGAACUUACCAUACUAAAUUGCAGAAGUAAAAAAAUUCAAGGACAUUUUGGUAAUUUUCUAUUUUCCUCAAAUUUCCACCCAAUCUUGAUCUAAAUUAAUAUUUCAUUCAAUUUAUUAAUUUAAAUAAUAAAACAAUUCAUUUCAUGCAAUUUGGUCACUUUUUGACAUUUUUUACCAAUUUACCCUUAAAAUAUUACUUUUAUUCAAUUUAGUCCUUAAACCUAAAACAUGCAAAUUGACCAUUUUUAGUGAAAACUCAGGCUAGUUGAAUAAUCAUAUAUUUUCCUCCUCCUCCUCUCUAUUCCACAUCCUUAAUGUAUACAACAAGCUUAUAAGUAACAUUAUCUAUAAUUUCACCAUUUAUUUAUGUAUUCAUUCAAAGCUGUCCACUUGAGUCAUAGUCACUAAAUUAUUUAUAUCUUGAGCUACAGAACUCCAAAUUGGGAUCUGUUAAUUUUCUCUGAAACUAGACUCACAUAUCUUCUUACCAUAAAAUUUUUAGAAUUUUUAGUUCAGCCAAUAAGUACAAUUUAUUCUUUAAAGUCACCCCUAUUCUGUUGUCUAACAAUUUUGACCCUUCUUCACUAAAAAUUAAUUAUCUCCUCUUACAGAAUUCAGAUGACGUUCCCGUUAAUACAUAUAAAUUUAAGACCCUAAUAAUUUUUCUCUAAUUUUUGAUGAUUUUCCAAUGUCAGAAUAGGGGAACCCAAAAUCAUUCUGACCUUAUCUCACCAAAUUUAUUAUAACUCAUGAUUUACAAUUCCAUUACUUACACCGUUUCUUUUAUGAGAAACUAGACUCAAUAAGCUUUAAUUUCAUAUUUUAUUCAUACUUUAAUUUUAUUUCCAUAAUUUAUGGUGAUUUUUCAAAGUUAACCUAUUGCUACUGUCCAAAACUAUUUUAGUGCAAGAUGUUGAUUACUAAGUUUAUAACUUCCUUAUUCCCUUUCUCUAUAACAUUUCCCAUCACUUUCACUUAUUUCUUUUCACUAAUAUAUCAAGAACACAAGACUUUAUAUAAGAAAACUCUACUAUAACAUCUUUUCCAUGCUUUUUCAAUAAUAUCAAACUUAAAAAAUAUUGAAAUCUCAAUGUUCUUACCUUGUCCUAUUGGUUUCAACCUUUAACUUGAUUUUUUUCUCUCCUCUAGCUUCUAUUUCUUGAAUCCAACUUGAUAUUCUAGCUCCCCAUAGUCUUUUUUGUUAUCUUUCUCUUUUAAUGGCUAUGGAAAUUCCUUUGAUUUCUAAGUGAAAAAUGGUGAAUUUUUGGUGAAAGGACCAAAAUUGUAAAGAAAGCAAAACUUUCUUUCUUCUCUUCUCUUCUAACAUGAAAUGCAUGGAAAAGAUGAUGAUUUCUCAUCAUCUUUCCUCCCUUUUAUAUUAAUCAUUUAAUAAUAAAAUAAUACUAAAAAUCUUAAUAAAAUAUUAAUUAAAUAAAAUUUAUCUAAUUAAUUAAUUAAAAAUAUCACAAACAUCAUCAUUACCUUCUAGAAUUCUCUCUCUUUCUAAUUGACAAUUUUGCCCUUCAUAAUCUUUUGAAUUUCAAUCCUUGAGUCAUCACUUAAUUUGGUAAAAUUACAAUUUAGUCCCUUAAAAUUCUUCACAUUUCCAAUUUUGUCCUAAUUCAUCUAUUUUCCUUAGUUUCUAGAUUAUUCCCCCUUAAAAUAUUUACAAUAUUGACCCUUCAACUUUUUCGUAUUUACAUUUUAACCCCUCAAAUUUUGAGUAUUUACUCUUGGGCCACAAAACUUUUCUCACUUUUGCGAUUUAAUCCUUUCUUGAAUUAAUAUGUCAUAAUAUACUUCUCAAUGUUGACGUAACUCAAAAUUACCAUUUUUAUCACUUUAUUUCCUUAUUUUACUAUAUCAGGAAUAUUAUCUUACUUUCUUACUGUAGUAAUUUUCAGGGUAUUACAUUAUAUAUCUCAGUCAUCUUCCCAAUAAUCAUCUUAAUGUUUUUGUUGGCCGCUACUACUGCUCUGUUCAUUUUUGGGAGAUAGGGUGAGGAAUUAUGAUGCUUUAUCUGAAACUGCUCACACACUUCUUUCAUCAUCUUGUUGUUCAAAUUCAAAGUAUUAUCUGAAAUAAUUCUCUCAGACACACCAUAUCGACAUAUGAUUUCCUUUUUUAGGAAACUGCAAACUGCAAUUUUUGUCACCUUGGCAAACAAAGUAGCUUCUACCCAUUUUGUGAAGUAGUCUAGAACCACAAAGGUGAAUCGGUGUCCAUUAGAAGCCUUCGGAGAAAUUUGCCCUAUAACAUCCAUGCUCCGCAUAGAAAAAGGCCAUGGAGAAGUCAUGACAUGAAGGGGCAAAGGAACUGCAUGAAUUUUAUCGCUGUAAAUUUGACACUUGUGACACUUUCGUGCAUAAUUGAUGUAAUACCUUUCCAUCGUCAGCCAAAAAUAACCAAGUCUCAUAAUCAACCUAGCCAUAGUGAAACCAUUGGCAUGCAUUCCACAAAUUCCUUCGUGGACAUCUUUAAGUAUUCUUCUGGCUUCAACAGCGUCCAUGCAUCUUAGGAGCAUUUGAUCAUUUCCUCUUUUGUAUAGAAUACCCCCGUCAAGAAUAAAUCCAACUGCCAUUCUCUUGAUUAUUCCUUUGUCAUUCUUGUUUGUUUGCUCGGGAUACAUUUAAUUCUUUAUAUACUCUAAAAUAUCAUGGAACCAUGGUCGUCCAUCUGACUCUUUCUCAAUGCUAAAACAAUAUGCAGGGACUUCAUAUAUGCUCAUUUGAAGAGGUAUUAUUUCAGUUUCCCUGUUUGCUUUGAACAUUGAAGCCAAAGUGGCCAGGGCUUCAAUCAACUGGUUUUCUUCUCAUGAGAGGUAGUUAAAAGUCACUUCUUUAAAUUCUUUGACUACUUCUACGACGAGAUUGCAAUACUUAACUAAUUUCAAAUCCCUCACUUCCCAAUCUCCAUGGAUUUGAUAAAUCACUAAUGCUGAGUCCCCACACACCUCUAGAAUUUUGAUUUUUCAUUCAAUAGUUGCACGAAGUCUCAUGAUGCAAGCCUCAUAUUCCUCUAUAUUAUUGGUACAGAAGAAAUUUAGUCUGGCAGUAAGCGGGUAAUGGUUCCCUUCUGGUGACACUAGGACUACUCUUAUCUUAUUCCCUAAUGCAUUUGAUGCACCAUCGAAGCUUAACUUCCAUGAUUGAUCUUUUGAUGGCUCACCCUCUUUUUCAGAAAUACACAAAAAGUCAUCAAGUCUUUGUUUGAAAAAUUGAUCUCAAAGGCUUGUAUUCUUCCAUUGCUCGACUUUUUAAGAAGUUUGCUAUUGCGCUUCCUUUUAUCAACUUUUGACUCACAUACGUGAUGUCAUACUUAGACAAUAGGAUCUGCCAUCGUGCUAUUCUUCCUGAGAGUGAGGGUGAUUCCAUCAUGUAAUUUAUUGGGUUUAGCUUUGAGAUUAACCAUGUCGUAUGAUACAACGUGUAUUGUCUGAGCUUUGGAACUACACAGACCAAUGCACAAUAGAAAUUUUCAAUUGACGGAUACUUUGCCUCAUACUCUAUGAAGUUUUUACGUAGGUAGUAAAUCAUCUUUUCUCUUUUCCCUGACUUAUCAUGUUGCCCCAGUACGCAACCCAUUGAGUUUUCAAACACAGUCAAAUACAAUAUUAAGGGUUUUCCAGGGGUCGGCAGUACUAGUAUCGGAGGAUUAGACAAAUACUGUUUUAUCUUGUCGAAGGCCACAUGACAGUCCUCGUCCCAUUCUCCUAGAUUAUGUUUUCGAAGGAGUCGAAAAAUUAGAUCACAUUGGUUGGUAAGUUGAGCAUGAAUCAAGUAAUGUAAUUCAACAUUCCUAAAAAUCAUCUGACUUCUUUUUGCGUGCGCGGAGGUGGCAGUUCUUGUAUGGAUUUUAUCUUAUCUGGAUCAACCUUAAUACUUCUUUCGCUGACAAUAAAACUUAGCAAUUUUCCCGAGGUAGCCCCAAAUGUAAACUUGGCUGGGUUAAGCUUCAAUUGGAACUUUCUUAAUCUUUCGAACAGCUUCCUGAGGUUUCCAACAUGCUCUUUUUCUUCCUGGGAUUUGGCAAUCAUAUCAUCAACAUAAACUUCUAUUUCUUUGUGCAUCAUGUCAUGGAACAACAUCACCAUGGCUCUCUGAUAUGUUGCCCCAGCAAUCUUCAAUCUGAACGACAUCACUUUAUAAUAGAAUGCUCUCUACAUUGUCAUGAAUGUGGUUUUCUCCAUAUUUUUGGGCGCCAUCUUUAUUUGAUUGUAACCCGAGAAACCAUCCAUGAAAGAAAACAAAGAAUGUUUCACCAUGUUAUCCACCAACAUAUUGAUGUGUGGCAAAGGAAAAUUAUCUUUAGGGCUUACUCGAUUCAGAUCGCAAUAAUCCAUGCACAUUUGCACCUUGCCGUCUUUUUUUUUUUGGUAUCAGGACUAUAUUAGCUACCCAUUCUGGAUAUUAAGACACUUGUAGGAAGCUGACAUCAAAUUGUUUCUUGACCUUUUCUUUUAUCUUUAACAUCAUUUCAGUGUCAUCUGUCUUAGCUUCUAUUGAAUGGGUUUGUAUUCUAAUUUCAAUGGGAGCUUAUGGACCACCACAUUUUCGUUCAACCCUGGCAUGUCCUGAUAAGACCAUGCAAAUACGUCUUUGUACUCAUUGAGCAAGGCUAUCAAAUUCUAUUUGGUAUUCUCUGAAAUGGAAGUCCUAAUCUUCACUUGCUUUUUUUCUUCAUUUCCCAAGUUUACUGUCUCAACAGAUUCUUGAUGGGGUAGAAUCUGUUUCUCUUCUUGUUCUACCAUUCUCAGUAAGUCAGGAGAUGAGACACAAUUUUCAGCAUUUUUUUCGGCUUCAAAUUCUCUUAAACAAAUAGUUUUUUCGAAAUAGAUUUCAGGACUUGUAACAGAUCCGUUUAUGCCAUUAAUAUUUGAGCACCUGAAAGGUAAAUGGAAAAGAAAACUAUAGAAGAGCAUCAAAGUAUUGGAAUCAACAAACACAAUGUUAUGGAAUGAUAUGAGACAUAUGUAGAGAAAGGUUAUGAAAAGAGGGAAUAAUUAUGAAGCUAAUGGAAAUGAAAAGACCAUGACAAAAUGCAUCUUCAUUAAUGUUCAUUGGAAUGAUAAAGAGCAGACAUAAGCUCUUACAAAAAGAAUCCCACUAUUUAGGGGCACACAAAAUAAUGGAGAAUUAACAUUGGGCAUUACUCUGGAGAGGACUCAGAAACUACAAGAAGGUCCAUAGUAGUCCAAUUGUUCAAAACAUAUCCUAGAGGACAAGGGCAUAUCAUUGAAGCAUCCUCAAUUGCAUCACCUUUGUUGUCAACAACAUUUAUGCUGAUAAUAUAAAGACCCUUUUCAAUCAAAGCACUUCAGGGAUUGUCUUGCCCCUCGUCUUCAUUUGUUACCGCAUUCACAUUCCCAUCAGCAUGGUUAGGAAGAGGAUUUCUAGCCAUAUUACUAACGCUAUCAAAUCAUAGAAUGCUAGUAUCGAUGAGAUCUUGAACCCUCCUUUUAAAGGCGAGACAAUAUUCUGUUGGAUGCCCUUGAUUUCUAGUGUGAUACAGACAAGAUCUGCUAUCUUCGAUCUCCUUUGCUGACAAAUCUGGAAGACAACACCUGCUAUCUUCGAUCCACUCCGCUGCCAAAUACAAGAAGACAAGUUCUGAUAUCUUCGAUCCCUUCUGCUGCCAAAUACAGGAAGACAAGAUCUGUUAUCUUCGAUCUCUUCCACUGCCAAAUACAGGAAGACAAGAUCUGCUACCUUCGAUCCCCUCUGCUGCUACAGGAAGACAAGAUUUGAUAUCUUUGAUCCCCUCCGCUGCCAGAUACAGGAAGACAAGAUCUGCUAUCUUCGAUCCCCUCUGCUCCAAAUACAGGAAGACAAGAUCUGCUAUAUUCGAUCCCCUCCGCUACCAAAUAGGGGAAGACAAGAUCUGCUAUCUUCAAUCCCUUCCGCUGCCGAGUUCAGGAAGACAAGAUCUACUAUAUUCGAUCUCCUCCGCUGCCAAAUAAAGGAAGACAAGAUCUGCUAUCUUCGAUCUCCUCCGCAACCAAAUACAGGAAGACAAGAUCUGAUAUCUUCGAUCCCCUCCGCUGCCAAAUUCGUGAAGACAAGAUCUAAUAUCUUCGAUCCCCUCCGUUGCCAAAUACAGGAAGACAAGAUCCGCUAUCUUCGAUCCCCUCCGCUGCCAAAUACAGGAAGACAAGAUCUGAUAUCCUCGAUCCGCUCCGCUUCCAAAUACACGAAGACAAGAUCUGUUAUCUUCGAUCCCCUCCGCUGCCAAAUAUUAGAAGACAAGAUCUGAUAUCCUCGAUCCCCUCCGCUGCCAAAUACAGGAAAACAUGAUCUACUAUCUUCGAUCCCCUCUACUGCCAAAUACAAGAAGACAAGACCUGCUAUCUUUGAUCCCCUCCGCUCCAAAUACAGGAAGACAAGAUCAGAUAUCCUCGAUCCCCUCCGCUCCCAAAUACAGGAAGACAAGAUCUGAUAUCUUCGAUCUCCUCCGCUGCCAACUACAGGAAGAUAAGAUCUGCUAUCUUCGAUCUCCUCCGCUGCCAAAUACAGGAAGACAAGAUCUACCAUCUUCGAUCCCUUCUGCUGCCAAAUACAGGAAGACAAGAUCUGAUAUCUUCCAUCCCUUUCACUGCAAAAUUUAGGAAGACAAGAUCUGAUAUCUUCGAUCCCUUCUGCUGCCAAAUACUGGAAGACAAGAUCUGUUAUCUUCGAUCUCUUCCACUGCCAAAUACAGGAAGACAAGAUCUGCUACCUUUGAUCCCCUCCGCUGCUACAGGAAGACAAGAUUUGAUAUCUUCGAUCCCCUCCGCUUCCAGAUACAGGAAGUCAAGAUCUGCUAUCUUCGAUCCCCUCCGCUCCAAAUACAGGAAGACAAGAUCUGCUAUAUUCGAUCCCCUCCGCUACCAAAUAGGGGAAGACAAGAUCUGCUAUCUUCGAUCCCUUCCGCUGCCGAGUUCAGGAAGACAAGAUCUGCUAUCUUCGAUCUCCUCCGCUGCCAAAUAAAGGAAGACAAGAUCUGCUAUCUUCGAUCUCCUCUGUAACCAAAUACAGGAAGACAAAAUCUGAUAUCUUCGAUCCCCUCUGCUGCCAAAUUCGUGAAGACAAGAUCUGAUAUCUUUGAUCCCCUCCGCUGCCAAAUACAGGAAGAUAAGAUCUGUUAUCUUCGAUCCCCUCCGCUACCAAAUACAGGAAGACAAGAUUUGAUAUCUUCGAUCCCCUCCGCUGCCAGAUACAGGAAGACAAGAUCUGCUAUCUUGGAUCCCCUCCGCUGCCAAAUACAGAAGACAAGAUCUGAUAUCUUCAAUCCCUUUUGCUGCCAAAUUCAGGAAGACAAGAUCUGAUAUCUUCGAUCCCCUCUGCUGGCAAAUACAGGAAGACAAGAUCUGCUAUCUUUGAUCCCCUUCGCUCCAAAUACAGGAAGACAAGAUCCGAUAUCCUCGAUCCCCUCCGCUGCCAAAUACAGGAAGACAAGAUCUGAUAUCUUCGAUCCCCUCAGCUGCCAAAUACAGGAAGAUAAGAUCUGCUAUCUUCGACCUCCUCCGCUGCCAAAUAUAGGAAGACAAGAUCUGCUAUCUUCGAUCCCUUCUGCUGCCAAAUACAGGAAGACAAGAUCUGAUAUCUUCUAUCCCUUUUACUGCAAAAUUCAGGAAGACAAGAUCUGAUAUCUUCGAUCCCCUCUGCUGCCAAAGACAGGAAGGCAAGAUCUGCUAUCGUCGAUCCCCUCCGCUGCCAAAUACAGGAAGAAAAGAUCUGAUAUCUUCGAUCCCCUUUGCUGCCAAAUACAGGAAGAUAAGAUCUGCUAUCUUCGAUCCAUUCGCUGCCACAUACAGGAAACAAGAUCUGCUAUCCUCGAUCUCCUCCCACUGCCAAAUACAUGAAGAUAAGAUCUACUAUCUUUGAUCCCUCUACUGCCGAAUACAGGAAGACAAGAUCUGCUAUCUUCAAUCCCCCCACAACCAAAUACAGGAAGACAAAAUCUGCUAUCGUCGAUCCCCUCCGCUGCCAAAUACAGAAAGAAAGAUCUGAUAUCUUCGAUCACCUCCGCUGCCAAAUACAGGAAGACAAGAUCUGCUAUCUUUGUCCCUUCGCUGCCAAAUACAGGAAGAACAAGAUCUGCUAUCCUCGAUCCUCGAUCUCCUCCGCUGCCAAAUACAUGAAGAUAAGAUCUACUAUCUUCGAUCCCCUCUGCUGCCAAAUACAGGAAGACAAGAUCUGGCUAUCUUCAAUCCCCCACUACCAAAUACAGGAAGACAAGAUCUAUUAUCUUCGAUCCCCUCCGCUGCAAAUAUAGGAAAACAUGAUCUGCUAUCUUCGAUCUCCUUCGCUGCCAAAUACAGGAAGACAAGAUCUUCUAUCUUUGAUCCCCUCUGCUCUAAUACAGGAAGACAAGAUCUGUUAUCUUCGAUCCCCUCCGCUCCAAAUACAAGAAGACAAGAUCUGCUAUCUUCGAUCCUCUCUGCUGCCAAAUACAGGAAGACAAGAUCUGCUAUCCUCGAUCUCUUUCACUGCCAAAUACAGUAAGAUAAGAUCUGUUAUCUUCGAUCCCCUCCGCUACCAAAUACAGGAAGACAAGAUUUGAUAUCUUCGAUCCCCUCCGCUGCCAGAUACAGGAAGACAAGAUCUGCUAUCUUGGAUCCCCUCCGCUGCCAAAUACAGAAGACAAGAUCUGAUAUCUUCAAUCCCUUUUGCUGCCAAAUUCAGGAAGACAAGAUCUGAUAUCUUCGAUCCCCUCUGCUGGCAAAUACAGGAAGACAAGAUCUGCUAUCUUUGAUCCCCUUCGCUCCAAAUACAGGAAGACAAGAUCCGAUAUCCUCGAUCCCCUCCGCUGCCAAAUACAGGAAGACAAGAUCUGAUAUCUUCGAUCCCCUCAGCUGCCAAAUACAGGAAGAUAAGAUCUGCUAUCUUCGACCUCCUCCGCUGCCAAAUAUAGGAAGACAAGAUCUGCUAUCUUCGAUCCCUUCUGCUGCCAAAUACAGGAAGACAAGAUCUGAUAUCUUCUAUCCCUUUUACUGCAAAAUUCAGGAAGACAAGAUCUGAUAUCUUCGAUCCCCUCCGUUCCAAAUACAGAAAGAUAAGAUCUGCUAUCUUCGAUCCCCUUCGCUGCCAAAUACAGGGAGAAAAGAUUUGAUAUCUUUGAUCCCUUCCGCUGCCAAAUACAGGAAGACAAGAUUUGCUAUCUUCGAUCCCCUCCGCUGCCAAAUAAAAGAAGACAAGAUCUGAUAUCUUCGAUCCCUUCUGCUGCCAAAUAUAGGAAGACAAGAUCUGUUAUCUUCGAUCUCUUCCGCUGCCAAAUACAGGAAGACAAGAUCUGCUACCUUCGAUCCCCUCCGCUGCUACAGGAAGACAAGAUUUGAUAUCUUCGAUCCCCUCCGCUGCCAGAUACAGGAAGACAAGAUCUACUAUCUUCGAUUCCCUCUGCUGCCAAAUACAGGAAGACAAGAUCUGAUAUCUUUAAUCCCUUUCGCUGCCAAAUUUAGGAAGACAAGAUCUGAUAUCUUUGAUCCCCUCUGUUGCCAAAUACGGGAAGGCAAGAUCUGCUAUCGUCGAUCCCCUCCGCUGCCAAAUACAGGAAAAAAAGAUCUGAUAUCUUCGAUCCCCUCUGCUGCCAAAUAUAGGAAGACAAGAUUUGCUAUCUUCGAUCCCAUUCACUGCCACAUACAGGAAGACAAGAUCUGCUAUCCUCGAUCUCCUCCGCUGCCAAAUACAUGAAGAUAAGAUAUACUAUCUUUGAUCCCCUCUACUGCCGAAUACAGGAAGACAAGAUCUGCUAUCUUCAAUCCCCCACAACCAAAUACAGGAAGACAAGAUCUGCUGUCUUCGAUCUCUUCCGCUGCCAAAUACAGGAAAACAUGAUCUGCUAUCUUUGAUCUCCUUCGCUGCCAAAUACAGGAAGACAAGAUCUGCUAUCUUCGAUCCCCCCGCUGCGAAAUACAGGAAGAUAAGAUCUACUAUCUUUCAUCCCCUCCGCUCCAAAUACAGGAAGACAAGAUCUGCUAUCUUCGAUCCCCUCCGCUCCAAAUACAGCAAGACAAGAUCUGCUAUCUUCGAUCCCGUCCGCUGCCAAAUACAGGAAGACAAGAUCUGCUAUCCUCGAUCUCUUCCACUACCAAAUACAGGAAGACAAGAUUUGUUACCUUCGAUCCCCUCUGCUACCAAAUACAAGAAGAAAAGAUUUGAUAUCUUCGAUCCCGCCACUGCCAUAUACAGGAAGACAAGAUCUGCUAUCUUCGAUCCCCUCCGCUGCCAGAUACAGGAAGACAAGAUCUGCUAUAUUCGAUCCCCUCCGCUGCCAAAUAUAGGAAGACAAGAUCUGAUAUCUUCAAUCCCUUUCGCAGCCAAAAUCAGGAAGAAAAGAUCUGAUAUCUUCAACCCCCUCUGCUGCCAAAUACAGGAAGACAAGAUCUGCUAUCGUCGAUCCCCUCCGCUGCCAAAUACAGGAAGAAAAGAUCUGAUAUCUUCGAUCCCCUCCGCUGCCAAAUACAGGAAGACAAGAUCUGCUAUCUUCGAUCCCAUUCGCUGCCAAAUACAGGAAGACAAGAUCUGCUAUCCUCGAUCUCCUCCGCUGCCAAAUACAUGAAGAUAAGAUCUACUAUCUUUGAUCCCCUCUACUGCCAAAUACAGGAAGACAAGAUCUGCUAUCUUCAAUCCCCCCACUACCAAAUACAAGAAGACAAGAUCUGCUAUUUUCGAUCCCCUCCGCUGCCAAAUACAGGAAGACAAGAUCUGAUAUCCUCGAUCCGCUCCGCUUCCAAAUACACGAAGACAAGAUCUGUUAUCUUCGAUCCCCUCCGCUGCCAAAUAUUAGAAGACAAGAUCUGAUAUCCUCGAUCCCCUCCGCUGCCAAAUACAGGAAAACAUGAUCUACUAUCUUCGAUCCCCUCUACUGCCAAAUACAAGAAGACAAGACCUGCUAUCUUUGAUCCCCUCCGCUCCAAAUACAGGAAGAUAAGAUCAGAUAUCCUCGAUCCCCUCCGCUCCCAAAUACAGGAAGACAAGAUCUGAUAUCUUCGAUCUCCUCCGCUGCCAACUACAGGAAGAUAAGAUCUGCUAUCUUCGAUCUCCUCCGCUGCCAAAUACAGGAAGACAAGAUCUACCAUCUUCGAUCCCUUCUGCUGCCAAAUACAGGAAGACAAGAUCUGAUAUCUUCCAUCCCUUUCGCUGCAAAAUUUAGGAAGACAAGAUCUGAUAUCUUCGAUCCCUUCUGCUGCCAAAUACUGGAAGACAAGAUCUGUUAUCUUCGAUCUCUUCCACUGCCAAAUACAGGAAGACAAGAUCUGCUACCUUCGAUCCCCUCCGCUGCUACAGGAAGACAAGAUUUGAUAUCUUCGAUCCCCUCCGCUUCCAGAUACAGGAAGUCAAGAUCUGCUAUCUUCGAUCCCCUCCGCUCCAAAUACAGGAAGACAAGAUCUGCUAUAUUCGAUCCCCUCCGCUACCAAAUAGGGGAAGACAAGAUCUGCUAUCUUCGAUCCCUUCCGCUGCCGAGUUCAGGAAGACAAGAUCUGCUAUCUUCGAUCUCCUCCGCUGCCAAAUAAAGGAAGACAAGAUCUGCUAUCUUCGAUCUCCUCUGUAACCAAAUACAGGAAGACAAAAUCUGAUAUCUUCGAUCCCCUCCGCUGCCAAAUUCGUGAAGACAAGAUCUGAUAUCUUCGAUCCCCUCCGCUGCCAAAUACAGGAAGACAAGAUCUGCUAUCUUCGAUCCCCUCCGCUGCCAACUACAGGAAGACAAGAUCUGAUAUCCUCGAUCCGCUCUGCUUCUAAAUACAGGAAGACAAGAUCUGUUAUCUUUGAUCCCCUCCGCUGCCAAAUAUUGGAAGACAAGAUCUGAUAUCCUCGAUCCCCUCCGCUGCCAAAUAUAGGAAAACAUGAUCUGCUAUCUUCGAUCCCCUCUGCUGCCAAGUACAAGAAGACAAGAUCUGAUAUCUUCGAUCCCCUCUGCUGCAAAAUACAGGAAGACAAGAUCUGCUAUCUUUGAUCCCCUCCGCUCUAAAUACAAGAAGAUAAGAUCCGAUAUCCUCAAUCCCCUCCGCUGCCAAAUAAAGGAAAACAUGAUCUGCUAUCUUCGAUCCCCUCUGCUGCCAGAUACAGGAAGACAAGAUCUACUAUCUUCGAUUCCCUCCGCUGCCAAAUACAGGAAGACAAGAUCUAAUAUCUUCAAACCCUUUCGCUGCCAAAUUCAGGAAGACAAGAUCUGAUAUCUUCGAUCCCCUCUGCUGCCAAAGACAGGAAGGCAAGAUCUGCUAUCGUCGAUCCCCUCCGCUGCCAAAUAUAGGAAGAAAAGAUCUGAUAUCUUCGAUCCCCUUCGCUGCCAAAUACAGGAAGAUAAGAUCUGCUAUCUUCGAUCCCAUUCGCUGCCACAUACAGGAAAACAAGAUCUGCUAUCCUCGAUCUCCUCCACUGCCAAAUACAUGAAGAUAAGAUCUACUAUCUUUGAUCCCUUCUACUGCCGAAUACAGGAAGACAAGAUCUGCUAUCUUCAAUCCCCCCACAACCAAAUACAGGAAGACAAAAUCUACUAUUGUCGAUCCCCUCCGCUGCCAAAUACAGAAAGAAAAGAUCUGAUAUCUUCGAUCACCUCUGCUGCCAAAUACAGGAAGACAAGAUCUGCUAUCUUUGUCCCUUCGCUGCCAAAUACAGGAAGACAAGAUCUGCUAUCCUCGAUCUCCUCCGCUGCCAAAUACAUGAAGAUAAGAUCUACUAUCUUCGAUCCCCUCUGCUGCCAAAUACAGGAAGACAAGAUCUGCUAUCUUCAAUCCCCCACUACCAAAUACAGGAAGACAAGAUCUAUUAUCUUCGAUCCCCUCUGCUGCCAAAUAUAGGAAAACAUGAUCUGCUAUCUUCGAUCUCCUUCGCUGCCAAAUACAGGAAGACAAGAUCUUCUAUCUUUGAUCCCCUCUGCUCUAAAUACAGGAAGACAAGAUCUGUUAUCUUCGAUCCCCUCCGCUCCAAAUACAAGAAGACAAGAUCUGCUAUCUUCGAUCCUCUCUGCUGCCAAAUACAGGAAGACAAGAUCUGCUAUCCUCGAUCUCUUUCACUGCCAAAUACAGUAAGAUAAGAUCUGUUAUCUUCGAUCCCCUCCGCUACCAAAUACAGGAAGACAAGAUUUGAUAUCUUCGAUCCCCUCCGCUGCCAGAUACAGGAAGACAAGAUCUGCUAUCUUGGAUCCCCUCCGCUGCCAAAUACAGAAGACAAGAUCUGAUAUCUUCAAUCCCUUUUGCUGCCAAAUUCAGGAAGACAAGAUCUGAUAUCUUCGAUCCCCUCUGCUGGCAAAUACAGGAAGACAAGAUCUGCUAUCUUUGAUCCCCUUCGCUCCAAAUACAGGAAGACAAGAUCCGAUAUCCUCGAUCCCCUCCGCUGCCAAAUACAGGAAGACAAGAUCUGAUAUCUUCGAUCCCCUCAGCUGCCAAAUACAGGAAGAUAAGAUCUGCUAUCUUCGACCUCCUCCGCUGCCAAAUAUAGGAAGACAAGAUCUGCUAUCUUCGAUCCCUUCUGCUGCCAAAUACAGGAAGACAAGAUCUGAUAUCUUCUAUCCCUUUUACUGCAAAAUUCAGGAAGACAAGAUCUGAUAUCUUCGAUCCCCUCCGUUCCAAAUACAGAAAGAUAAGAUCUGCUAUCUUCGAUCUCCUUCGCUGCCAAAUACAGGGAGAAAAGAUUUGAUAUCUUUGAUCCCUUCCGCUGCCAAAUACAGGAAGACAAGAUUUGCUAUCUUCGAUCCCCUCCGCUGCCAAAUAAAAGAAGACAAGAUCUGAUAUCUUCGAUCCCUUCUGCUGCCAAAUAUAGGAAGACAAGAUCUGUUAUCUUCGAUCUCUUCCGCUGCCAAAUACAGGAAGACAAGAUCUGCUACCUUCGAUCCCCUCCGCUGCUACAGGAAGACAAGAUUUGAUAUCUUCGAUCCCCUCCGCUGCCAGAUACAGGAAGACAAGAUCUACUAUCUUCGAUUCCCUCUGCUGCCAAAUACAGGAAGACAAGAUCUGAUAUCUUUAAUCCCUUUCGCUGCCAAAUUUAGGAAGACAAGAUCUGAUAUCUUUGAUCCCCUCUGUUGCCAAAUACGGGAAGGCAAGAUCUGCUAUCGUCGAUCCCCUCCGCUGCCAAAUACAGGAAAAAAAGAUCUGAUAUCUUCGAUCCCCUCUGCUGCCAAAUAUAGGAAGACAAGAUUUGCUAUCUUCGAUCCCAUUCACUGCCACAUACAGGAAGACAAGAUCUGCUAUCCUCGAUCUCCUCCGCUGCCAAAUACAUGAAGAUAAGAUAUACUAUCUUUGAUCCCCUCUACUGCCGAAUACAGGAAGACAAGAUCUGCUAUCUUCAAUCCCCCACAACCAAAUACAGGAAGACAAGAUCUGCUGUCUUCGAUCUCUUCCGCUGCCAAAUACAGGAAAACAUGAUCUGCUAUCUUUGAUCUCCUUCGCUGCCAAAUACAGGAAGACAAGAUCUGCUAUCUUCGAUCCCCCCGCUGCGAAAUACAGGAAGAUAAGAUCUACUAUCUUUCAUCCCCUCCGCUCCAAAUACAGGAAGACAAGAUCUGCUAUCUUCGAUCCCCUCCGCUCCAAAUACAGCAAGACAAGAUCUGCUAUCUUCGAUCCCGUCCGCUGCCAAAUACAGGAAGACAAGAUCUGCUAUCCUCGAUCUCUUCCACUACCAAAUACAGGAAGACAAGAUUUGUUACCUUCGAUCCCCUCUGCUACCAAAUACAAGAAGAAAAGAUUUGAUAUCUUCGAUCCCGCCACUGCCAUAUACAGGAAGACAAGAUCUGCUAUCUUCGAUCCCCUCCGCUGCCAGAUACAGGAAGACAAGAUCUGCUAUAUUCGAUCCCCUCCGCUGCCAAAUAUAGGAAGACAAGAUCUGAUAUCUUCAAUCCCUUUCGCAGCCAAAAUCAGGAAGAAAAGAUCUGAUAUCUUCAACCCCCUCUGCUGCCAAAUACAGGAAGACAAGAUCUGCUAUCGUCGAUCCCCUCCGCUGCCAAAUACAGGAAGAAAAGAUCUGAUAUCUUCGAUCCCCUCCGCUGCCAAAUACAGGAAGACAAGAUCUGCUAUCUUCGAUCCCAUUCGCUGCCAAAUACAGGAAGACAAGAUCUGCUAUCCUCGAUCUCCUCUGCUGCCAAAUACAUGAAGAUAAGAUCUACUAUCUUUGAUCCCCUCUACUGCCAAAUACAGGAAGACAAGAUCUGCUAUCUUCAAUCCCCCCACUACCAAAUACAAGAAGACAAGAUCUGCUAUUUUCGAUCCCCUUCGCUGCCAAAUACAGGAAGAUAAGAUCUGCUAUCCUCGAUCUCCUCCGCUGCAAAAUACAUGAAGAUAAGAUCUACUAUCUUCGAUCCCCUCUGCUGCCAAAUAUAGGAAGAUAAUAUCUACUAUCUUCGAUCCCCUCCGCUGCCAAAUACAGGAAAACAUGAUCUGCUAUCUUCGAUCCCCUCCGCUGCCAGAUACAGGAAGACAAGAUCUGCUAUAUUCGAUCCCCUCCGCUGCCAAAUACAGGAAGACAAGAUCUGAUAUCUUCAAUCCCUUUCGCAGCCAAAUUCAGGAAGAAAAGAUCUGAUAUCUUCAACCCCCUCUGCUGCCAAAUACAGGAAGACAAGAUCUGCUAUCGUCGAUCCCCUCCGCUGCCAAAUAUAGGAAGAAAAGAUCUGAUAUCUUCGAUCCCCUCCGCUACCAAAUACAGGAAGACAAGAUCUACUAUCUUCGAUCCCAUUCGCUGCCAAAUACAGGAAGACAAGAUCUGCUAUCCUCGAUCUCCUCCGCUGCCAAAUACAAGAAGAUCAGAUCUGCUAUCUUCGAUCCCCUCUGUUGCCAAAUACAGGAAGACAAGAUCUGCUAUCUUCGAUCCCUUCUGCUGCCAAAUACAGGAAGACAAGAUCUGAUAUCUUCGAUCUCCUCCGCUACCAAAUACAUGAAGACAAGAUUUGCUAUCUUCGAUCCCUUCCGCUGUCAAAUACAGGAAGACAAGAUCUACUAUAUUCGAUCCCCUCCGCUGCCAAAUAUAGGAAGACAAGGUCUGAUAUCUUCGAUCCCUUCCGCUGCCAAAGACAGGAAGACAAGAUCUGCUAUAUUCGAUCCCCUCUGCUGCCAAAUUCAGGAAGACAAGAUCUGCUAUCUUCGAUCCCUUCCGUUCCCAAAUACAGGAAGACAAGAUCUGCUAUCUUCGAUCCCCUCUGCUGCCAAAUUCAGGAAGACAAGAUCUGCUAUCUUCGAUCCCUUCCGUUCCCAAAUACAGGAAGACAAGAUCUGCUAUCCUCGAUCUCCUCUGCUGCCAAAUACAUGAAGAUAAGAUCUACUAUCUUUGAUCCCCUCUACUGCCAAAUACAGGAAGACAAGAUCUGCUAUCUUCAAUCCCCCCACUACCAAAUACAAGAAGACAAGAUCUGCUAUUUUCGAUCCCCUUCGCUGCCAAAUACAGGAAGACAAGAUCUGCUAUCCUCGAUCUCCUCCGCUGCAAAAUACAUAAAGAUAAGAUCUACUAUCUUCGAUCCCCUCUGCUGCCAAAUAUAGGAAGAUAAUAUCUGCUAUCUUCGAUCCCCUCCGCUGCCAAAUACAGGAAAACAUGAUCUGCUAUCUUCGAUCUCCUUCGCUGCCAAAUACAGGAAGACAAGAUCUGCUAUCUUUGAUCCCCUCCGCUGCCAAAUACAGGAAGACAAGAUCUGAUAUCUUCAAUCCCUUUCGCUGCCAAAUUUAGGAAGACAAGAUCUGAUAUUUUCGAUCCCCUCUGCUGCCAAAUACGGGAAGGUAAGAUCUGAUAUCUUUGAUCCCUUCUGCUGCCAAAUAUAGGAAGACAAGAUCUGUUAUCUUCGAUCUCUUCUGCUGCCAAAUACAGGAAGACAAGAUCUGCUACCUUCAAUCCCCUCCGCUGCUACAGGAAGACAAGAUUUGAUAUUUUCGAUCCCCUCCGCUGCCAGAUACAGGAAGACAAGAUCUAUUAUCUUCGAUUCCUUCCGCUGCCAAAUACAGGAAGACAAGAUCUGAUAUCUUCAAUCCCUUUCACUGCCAAAUUUAGGAAGACAAGAUCUGAUAUCUUCGAUCCCCUCUGCUACCAAAUACGGAAAGGCAAGAUCUGCUAUCGUCGAUCCCUUCCGCUGCCAAAUACAGGAAGGAAAGAUCUGAUAUCUUCGAUCCCCUCCGCUGCCAAAUACAGGAAGACAAGAUCUACUAUCUUCGAUCCCCUCUGCUGCCAAAUACAGGAAGACAAAAUCUGCUAUCUUCAAUCCCCCACUACCAAAUACAGGAAGACAAGAUCUAUUAUCUUCGAUCCCCUCCACUGCCAAAUACAGGAAAACAUGAUCUGCUAUCUUCGAUCUCCUUCGCUGCCAAAUAUAGGAAGACAAGAUCUGCUAUCUUUGAUCCCCUCUGCUCCAAAUACAGGAAGACAAGCUUCCUUUAUUUGGCAGCAGAGGGGAUCCAAGAUAGCAGAUCUUAUCUUCCUAUAUUUGGCAGCGGAGGGGAUCGAAGAUAGAAGAUCUUGUCUUCCUCUAUUUGGCAGUGAAGGAGAUCGAUGAUAGCAGAUCUUGUCUUCCUGUAUUUGGCAGCGGAGGAGAUCGAAGAUAGUAGAUCUUGUCUUCCUAUAUUUGGCAGCAGAAGGGAUCGAAGAUAGCAGAUCUUGUCUUCCUGUAUUUAAUAGCGGAGGGGAUCAAAGAUAUCAGAUCUUAUCUUUCUGUGUUUAGCUGUAGAGGAGAUCGAAGAUAGCAGAUCUUGUCUUCCUUUAUUUGGCAGCGGAGGAGAUCGAAGAUAGCAGAUCUUGUCUUCCUGUAUUUGGCAGUGAAGGGGAUCGAAGAUAGCAGAUCUUGUCUUCCUGUAUCUGGCAGCGGAGGGGAUUGAAGAUAUCAAAUCUUGUCUUCCUGUAUUUGGCAGUGGAGGGGAUGGAAGAUAGCAGAUCUUGUCUUCCUGUAUUUGGCAGUGGAGGGGAUCGUAGAUAGCAGAUCUUAUUUUCCUGUAUUUGGCAGUGGAAGGGAUCGAAGAUAUCAGGUCUUGUCUUCCUGUGUUUGGCAGCGGAGAGGAUAAAAGAUAGCAGAUCUUGUCUUCCUGUAUUUGGCAGCGGAAGGGAUCGAAGAUAUCAGAUCUUGUCUUCCUGUAUUUGGCAGCGGAGGAGAAUGAAGGUAGCAGAUCUUGUUUUCCUGUCUUUGGCAGCGGAAGGGAUCGAAGAUAUCAGAUCUUGUCUUCCUGUAUUUGGCAGUGGAGGGGAUCGAAGAUAGCAGAUCUUGUUUUCCUGUAUUUGGCAGCGGAAGGGAUCGAAGAUAUCAGAUCUUGUCUUCCUGUAUUUGGCAGUGGAGGGGAUCGAAGAUAGCAGAUCUUGUCUUCCUGUAUUUGGCAGCAGAGGGGAUCAAAAAUAGCAGAUCUUGUCUUCCUGUAUUUGGCGGCGGAGGGGAUCGAAGAUAGCAGAUCUUGUCUUCCUGUAUUUGGCAGCGGAGGGGAUAAAAGAUAGCAGAUCUUAUCUUCCUAUUUGGCAGUGGAGGAGAACGAAGAUAGCAGAUCUUUUCUUCCUUUAUUUGGCAGCGGAGGAGAUCAAAAAUAGCAGAUCUUGUCUUCUAGAAUUUGGCAGCGGAAGGGAUCAAAGAUAGCAGAUCUUGCCUUCCUUUAUUUGGCUGCGGAGGAGAUCGAAGAUAGCAGAUCUUAUUUUCCUGUAUUUGGCAGCGAAAGGGAUCAAAGAUAUCAGUUCUUGUCUUCUUGUAUUUGGCAGCGGAGGGGAUCGAAGAUAUCAGAUCUUGUCUUCCUGUAUUUGGCAGUGGAGGGGAUCGAAGAUAGCAGAUCUUGUCUUCCUAUAUUUGGCAGCGGAGGGGAUCAAAAAUAGCAGAUCUUGUCUUCCUGUAUUUGGCGGCGGAGGGGAUCGAAGAUAGCAGAUCUUGUCUUCCUGUAUUUGGCAGCGGAGGGGAUAAAAGAUAGCAGAUCUUGUCUUCCUAUUUGGCAGCGGAGGAGAACGAAGAUAGCAGAUCUUGUCUUCCUUUAUUUGGCAGCGGAGGAGAUCGAAAAUAGCAGAUCUUGUCUUCCAGAAUUCGGUAACGGAAGGGAUCAAAGAUAGCAGAUCUUGCCUUCCUUUAUUUAGCUGCGGAGGAGAUCGAAGAUAGCAGAUCUUGUCUUCCUGUAUUUGGCAGCGGAGGGGAUCAAAUAUAGCAGAUCUUGUCUUCCUAUAUCUGGCAGAGAAGGGGAUCGAAGAUAUCAAAUCUUGUCUUCCUAUAUUUGGCAGUGGAGGGGAUCGAAGAUAGCAGAUCUUGUCUUCUUGUAUUUGGCAGCGGAGGGGAUCGAAAAUAGCAGAUAUUGUCUUCCUGUAUUUAGCAGUAGAGGAGAUCGAAGAUAGCAGAUCGUGUCUUCCUAUCUUUGGCAGCAGAAGGGAUCUAAGAUAUCAGAUCUUGUCUUCCUGUAUUUGGCAGUGGAGGGGAUCGAAGAUAGCAGAUCUUAUUUUCCUGUAUUUGGCAGCGGUAGAGAUCAAAGAUAUCAGAUCUUGUCUUCCUGUAUUUGGCAGCAGAGGGGAUAAAAGAUAGUAGAUCUUGUCUUCCUGUAUUUGGCAGCGGAGGGGAUCGAAGAUAGCAGAUCUUGUCUUCCUGUAUUUGGCAGUGGAGGAGAACGAAGAUAGCAGAUCUUGUCCUCCUGUAUCUGGCAGCGGAGGGGAUCGAAGAUAUCAAAUCUUGUCUUCCUGUAUUAGGCAGUGGAGGGGAUCGAAGAUAGCAGAUCUUGUCUUCUUGUAUUUGCCAGCGGAGGGGAUCAAAAAUAGCAGAUCUUGUCUUCCUGUAUUUAGCAGCGGAGGAGAUCGAAGAUAGAAGAUCUUGUCUUCCUGUCUUUGGAUGCGGAAGGGAUCGAAGAUAUCAGUUCUUGUCUUCCUAUAUUUGGCAGUGGAGGGGAUCGAAGAUAGCAGAUCUUGUUUUCCUGUAUUUGGCAGCGGUAUGGAUCAAAGAUAUCAGAUCUUGUCUUCCUGUAUUUUGCAGCGGAGGGGAUAAAAGAUAGCAGAUCUUGUCUUCCUGUAUUUGGCAGCAGAGGGGAUCGAAGAUAGUAGAUCUUGUCUUCCUGUAUUUGGCAGCGGAGGAGAUCGAAGAUAGCAGAUCUUAUCUUCCUGAAUUCGGCAGCGGAAGGGAUCGAAGAUAGCAGAUCUUGUCUUCCUCUAUUUGGCAGCGGAGGGGAUCGAAGAUAGCAGAUCUUGUCUUCCUGUAUUUGGCAGCGGAGGAGAUCGAAGAUAGCAAAUCUUAUCUUCCUAUAUUUGGCAGCAAAAGGGAUCGAAGAUAGCAGAUCUUGNNNNNNNNNNNNNNNNNNNNNNNNNNNNNNNNNNNNNNNNNNNNNNNNNNNNNNNNNNNNNNNNNNNNNNNNNNNNNNNNNNNNNNNNNNNNNNNNNNNNNNNNNNNNNNNNNNNNNNNNNNNNNNNNNNNNNNNNNNNNNNNNNNNNNNNNNNNNNNNNNNNNNNNNNNNNNNNNNNNNNNNNNNNNNNNNNNNNNNNNNNNNNNNNNNNNNNNNNNNNNNNNNNNNNNNNNNNNNNNNNNNNNNNNNNNNNNNNNNNNNNNNNNNNNNNNNNNNNNNNNNNNNNNNNNNNNNNNNNNNNNNNNNNNNNNNNNNNNNNNNNNNNNNNNNNNNNNNNNNNNNNNNNNNNNNNNNNNNNNNNNNNNNNNNNNNNNNNNNNNNNNNNNNNNNNNNNNNNNNNNNNNNNNNNNNNNNNNNNNNNNNNNNNNNNNNNNNNNNNNNNNNNNNNNNNNNNNNNNNNNNNNNNNNNNNNNNNNNNNNNNNNNNNNNNNNNNNNNNNNUUUCAAUUCAAAUCCCCUUUGGCCUAAGGUGCCAUUUGAGGGUUUUCCCUUUAGCCUCUCCAUUUUUACUUUUUCAUUUUUCAUUUUUUUCAAUCUUUUCUUCUUUUUUUUAAUCAUUUUUUGUUUGAGUCAAAGUGCCCUUUGCAGGUUUUCACAUUGGUCCUUCCUUCUUCUUUAAACGAAGUGUUUAUUAACUGGAUCUGAGUUUAUAGGAUUGGCAAUCUCACUCAGGAUCAGUGCUCCUCUGAAAAUGGUCUUCUUUACAACAUAGGGACAUUCCUGGUUUGGCAUUCAUUUCCCUUUAGAAUCCUUUCGUUAAAGGAGAAUAUUUUUCAACAUCCAUCCCUCUCGUGGAAUUCUCUGAGAUGAGCCUAUUUAUUAUGGGCUCAUAUUAUUUAUUUAUGGUACAUCCGACCCUGAUGAAUAGCUUUUAACCCUUUUCCUAGGGCCAACUGAUCACAUCGUGAUUGGAUCCCUCCAACAAGUAAUGAGGGGAUUUUGAUAGGUAAAACUACCUCAAUCCUGUAAACCAAAAAGAGAUGUGUUGCCCCAAUACAAAUGUUCGACAAAUGAUGAGGGCAAAUAGUAAUUUCUCAUGCCAGUCCUUGUUCACCUCAAGGUAAUUUGGUGACAAAACGUUGUGUCUGCUUCUGAAUUAAUUUCAGACCUCAGUUAUCGUGCUAUCAUUUAAGUUCAAUGCAUUUUCCAAUACCAUCCUCUCUGAAAUUCUGUAUCGGUAUAGGAUGACCUUGAUCCAUGAAGUAGCCUCUCAAAAAUGAAGCAAUGCCCAUUAGAAGUCUUCGAUAAUGGUGAUGUUCAUGCCCCAUUUUGCUCAAAAUUUGAGUCGCCCUUUUUCGGGUUUUCAACUCAGAUCCACCUUUGGUCAAAGCGUCCUUUGCGGGUUUUCGCAUUGACCUCUCUUUUUUCUUUUUUUCUUUUUUUUAAAUUUUUUUUAAUUUUUUUGAUUUUUUUUAAUUUUUUAUUUUGUUGAGUCUGAACUCACGAGAUCAGGCAAGUCCUGGUCAUGCUUUUCGACCAGAAUCAAUGUUAUUCUAAAGUCUUCCACAUAAGAUCUUCCACUUUUAUCUUGUAUGUGAAAAACCUUCUUUGGUACCAGAUUUCUUUCAUAGAGUCCUUUUUAGGACGGAAAUACAACAGAAAACUUCGGAUCUUCCUCUUUAAUCAAGAUAAAAUCCAACAACAUCCUAAAGGGGUGGAAACUCGACUUCAAAUGGGCAAAGCUAUGUUGACUCAACGAGAGAGGCAUUGCCCCGGCAAAGAAUUGCAUCGUUUGUACUGUAAAUUUUUGACAUCAUGCUGUUGUGCAGGUUUUAUUAUAAGAAUCGAGGCAUACCCUGGUAUGAUCAUACAAAGACAUCUUUGAACUCUAGAGGUAACUCAACAAGGUCUUGCUUCGUCUCUGUGGUCAGGUCAAUUCUAGUCUUCACCAAGCUCACAAUUUCUAAUGAUUCCUUAAGAGGUAGGAUCUGUUUAUCCUCUUGUUCUACCAUCCUCAACAAGCUUGGAGAUAAGCUACGAUCUAUGUCAUCUUCAAAGUCGUGAGAUCCCUCUAAACACAUGUCUCGCUCAAAAGGAGAUUCAAAGUCUGUAGCAGUGUCAUUCAUGUCGUUGAUAUCUAGGGACCUAUUGUAGGUAAAAAAGAAUAUACAAAGAAUAUAUGAAGUUAUGUACAAUAUGAUUAUGAAUGAAUGAAAGAAUGAUUUGGAUAAAAGAAUACAAGAGUAAAAAUAAUCAUUUAAGAAAUGAAAGAAUAUUGGUUCAAAAGAUCGCAAAGAUGCAUUCCAUUAAAAUGAUGACGUUCAGACAUGAGCCUAUUUCACAAAAGAGUUCUUGUUGCCUCUAGGCUGAAAGCAACAAGUGUAUUCUGAAUAUUACUCUGAGUAAGCUCUAAAUACUAUAGGGAUUUCUUUUGCAGUCUAAUUAUUCAGAACACUCUCAAAUUUAUAAGGGCGAACAUCUAAUAAGAUCUCUUCUCCAGUUGCUUCUUCGUAUGCGGCACUGAUGUGAACAUUUCCCAACAUUUUUCAUUCAUCGCAUUCCCUUCAUUAUCCGUAUGAUUGAGUAGAGGGUUUUCUGUACUGAGUGAAUCCUCAAAUUUGACAAUGCACAUAUUGAUAAACCUUUCGACCAGCUUUUUAAAGGCAGUGCAAUUUUCUAUAGAAUGCCCCGUAAUUCCCGCAUGAUAGUCACAUUGCGCAUUUGUGUCAUACCAUUUGGGAUACGGAGGUUGUAAAGGCUUCAAGUAGAAAGGGGAGACAACACGUGCGUCAAAUAAUCUCUGAUACAGUUCCUUAUAUGACGUCGAAAUUGGUGUAAACUGGAGCUUCUCGGUACCUGGUUUCACCCUAGAUUCUUGCUUUAAAGGACUCCGACGUCUGCUGGUUUCUGUCUUUGACCGGCCUACAGUGAUUGGUUUUGAGUGGCCCUUGUUAUAUCUGUUCGCAUUAUUCCCCCUAUUCCCCUUCUUUCUUGGGGCCUCUAUAGUAUCUGGGUACUCUGCCCUCACCUGCUUCAUUUCUACUGGAUCAUCACAUGCAACAAGAAAAUUGUUCCUCAAAUUGGAUCUUGGGCCCGUCAAGCCACUCACUGGUGCUGUUGUACCAGUUUGAUAUUGUUGAGAUUUGAUGGUGAAUAGUGCCCCUUGUGGGUGCCCAUCUGGCUGGACCUGGACACUUGUCGGAGUACAAUCUAAUAAAUAAGCAAAAUCCUCAUUAUCAACCUCAGAGUGGUCUAUCAGGUCCUUCCUUUUUUCUAACUCUCCAGCUAGCAAUCGGUUGAAUUGGCUUAUCAUAGUUCUCUGUAAUUCUAGCAUCUGAUCUCUUAUCUCCUGUUGAAAUUCGAUCAAUUGCUCCUGUAUCUGUAUCUGCACUCGCUCUAAUUUUUCCAACCUUUGUUCCAUUUCUCUAGUUCCUGUUCGGGUAGCGCAAGGGUGUUGGUUUGGUAGGUUGGUUUCCAUUGACUCUGAAAUGAUUUCGUUUGAUUAAGGUCUUUUAGUGAAAUUUGAUGCAUGCAAUGAAAUGCAAUGCAGAUGCAUGAAAUGAAUGCAAAAAAGAGACGUUGAUUCUUGGUUCAAUUCUAUUAGAACAACUUUACUAGAAAACAAAUCUCUUUACAUAAAGCGGAUAUAUAUACAGCUUUGCCCUUAUGUUCCAAGAGAACGAUCCUUUUCUUCAUUCGCGCGUUAAGAUAAAUCUCACAAACUAUUCAAAAGGGACGUCUCUUUUAUCUCCUUUUUGCUUGAUCCGGGCCUUGACUCGUUACUCGCUCAUCCUCAUGAUGCUCAUUGGCUUCUCUUUAAGAAAGUUCAGCGGCUCUCGAAUAAUCUUUGUCACCUUGAAUCCUCAGGCAACGGAGCAAUAGUUGUGUUGUCCUCUAUUAAGUUAUCAUCUUUCUCUUGUUGUAUUUUUUCAGAACAUAUUCGGGCAACCGUAUUAUUAUCCACUUUAUCAAAAAACCCAUUUCCUUAUGACAAGCUCUCUAUUUAACAACCGAACCUGAAUCAACACCUCUUUAUGAUGAAAAUGAAAUGCAAUCAUAACCAAAACAAAAGAAAAUAGGUUAGUACAAAGCAAGAGCAAGCAAGAAUAAAUAGAACACCUAUUCGGGUGACUACUAGGGGUUCAAAGUGGUUCUACCUAGGGUGGGCUCCUAAGGUUCACUACAUAAGGUUUGGCUCUAAAGUAAAGGUACCCAAACCAGCAGAUUCCUCAAUCCUCACCCAUUAUAGGCUCAUAUAGACCGAGUUCGGUUCAGGGGAAUACAUUUCCCUAUGGCUGCACGGAGAUGAAAAUCUCACGAAGACAUAGGCAUGGAUGUAUCCCGAAAGCGAUCCACUAUCCUGCACGGAGGUGAAAACCUCACGAAGGACUAGCUUCUCACUCCCACUUAAAAGGUGUGACCAACGGUCAUGCAAUGCAAUGUAGAAAGAUAUAAAAAUUUAAAAUAUAAAACAUGAUGAAAACUAUAACUCAAAACAAAUGAAAUGCAAUGAGAGAAUUGUAUAUUUAAAUCAAAUUUUCAACUUUCGACAAAAAGACAAGAAAUAAUCAACUCGUGGCUUGACUCUCUUAUUUAAAGUCCCCAGCGAAGUCGCCAAGCUGUUGACACCAUUUUUUGGAUUAAAAACGGGGUCGACUUGGGUUUUGAAAAAUGAAACGGGAGUUGCGACCAAUCCUUUUUUAUGAGGUGUGAUUGGAUCACCUCGAAAAGUGGUUGUUUUUAAUAAACAGUUUGAUUUUAUUAAAACAACAAGUUUGGUCCACGAAAUUCAGAAAAACGGGUUCGGGAGUCGGUUACGCACGAGGAAGGAUUAGCACCCUCUAUACGCCCAAAAUUAGUACCUAGUUGAUUACUUAAUGUCUUAAUGUCGAAAAUUGAGAACUUUGGAGAAUUUUAAAAAUACGAUCAUUUUUAUUAAAAUGUUGAAAAUUUUUAAGAAAAAAGGGGAUAUUUCACGUUAUUCGAGAUAGAGAAUCAUAUCCAGUAAGUUAGGACACAAUGUCUCGAAUUCCCGAUACGCGAAUAAAAAAUACUUAUUUAAAAGAUAUUUAAUUAUCUUGGAUUUAAAAAGGGAUCACGACCAGUAAGUUAGGACACGAUCCUUUUUAAUUCCCGAUAUUGUUUAAAACUUGAGUUUAAAAAAAAUUCGUGUAAUAAAGUUUAAAAGAAUAUUCAAUUGUUUAAAUCAAAUGAAGAAAUCGCAACCCAAUACGUUAGGGCACAAUUUCUCAAAAUAUUAAACAUUGAAUAUUGCAUUUAUUUCGAAAAAUCCUCGUCUCAAGAAAACAACGUGUCACAUCCAAUGCGUUAGGAUACAACGUAUUGAAUUCUUGAUAACGAGCUUUUUAUCAUUUUUUUUAAAAGAGUAAUCUCGAUUAUUUAGGGUCAACGAAGAAAAUCAGAACCCAAUACGUUAGGGCUUAAUUCUCUCGAAGAUCCCAAAUACCGAGUAUUACUUACAUUUUUAAAAUUUCUUUUUUGAAAUCUAAAAAAAUGGGUGUAAUGAAAUGAUGAUGAUAAUGUAAGUAAAGUAAUCACAAGCAAAACAAUAAAAGGGGCACAUAAAAAAACAAUUAUACAUGAAAUAAUGAGUAAAUAAAAAGAACUAAAGCAUUUCAUAAAAAUAAUGAUAAACAAAUAAAUAAAUAUCAAAUAAAACAAUCGAGAACAAUAUGAAUUACAAAAAAUACAUUAUUUAUGUAUGUAUAUCUAUGUAUAUAUAUAAAUCAUAAAGCCUUAAAAAAUAAGUAUGUAUAUUUAAAAUAUGUGGGUAUACAUAUAUAAAGCAUAAAAUACAAAUAAUAUAUAAGUAAGUAUAUAUAUAUUAAAGUAUAUAAAAAUAUAAGUACGUACAUAUAUAAAAAUUAAAAAUGUAGAUAUAUAUAUAUGUUAGUAUGAAUAUAUAUAACAAAAUCUAAAAAUGGUAUAAGUGGGUAAAUAAUAAUAAUAAGGAAAGUAAUAAUAAUAAAUGCAAUAACAAGAAUAAUAAUAAUAAUAAUAAUAAUAAUAAUAAUAAUAAUAAAGGAUUAGAUUGAAAGCAAAACAAAGUCCCAGGGGAGAAAUCAGAAUAAAGUAAAGAAAAAGAUUAAUUUGGAAUGCGCGUGAAAGAAGGGGGACCAAAAAAAGAAAUAUCCCAUCCCUCCCAACGCAUCACUUUACGUAGGACUAAAAUGAAACAACGAUAGAACUAUACGGCUAAAUUAAAAAUAAAGAAAAGCAGGAAAGAGGGGCAAAUUGCAACGCGCUGCAAACGUGGAGGGACCGCGCGCGCAAAUAGCCCUUUUAAAGAAAACACGCGGAUCCUCCCCUCAGGGUCGGGUCACUGCGCGGGUCUAAGGCAAAACGGCGCCGUUUUAGGCGCUUGAAGCCAGCCUCAAAACGACGUCGUUUUGCAGGCUUAUAUAACCUUUUUUUUGAACAAAAAAAAUCAUUUCAUCCCUUGUUUUAAAAAAAAACUCCCAACUCUCUCUCAACUUCCCUUCCCCUUUUCUGUGUGCUGCCCAGAAUUCGGCCAACACCGCUGCCGCGCUGGCCACCGUACACGGUGGCCGGAAAGUUCAACAAGGUUUUUUUUUACUUUUUUAAUAUGUUAUGUAUAUAUAUAUGUAUAGUUUAAAAUAAAAGAAAAAUAAUAAAAAAAUUUCGAAUGUAAAUAAUCCAAAACCGAAAAUAAUGAGAAAAAAAGGACCUUUUAUUGCUUUUUCUUGAAUCUUUUUUCUCUUCCUUUUUGAAUAGAUUUUUUUUUAAAAAAAAGAAAAAAACCCCGCAUUACAAUGUUUGAAUGGCCUUAUAUAUAGAGCCAUUUUACAAUUUUUUAUUAUUUGCUUGCUAUCGUUUCUCUCUGAUUUUGCAGGUGCAAGUGGGUGGAGUUGGUGCGGCACUACAGGCGACAGUGGAGACAGGCGGUCAGGGGUAGGUACGGCAGUGGCAUGGGCAAUGGUGGCUGAAGGCAGUAGGCUAGGGUUUCAGAAAACUGAAACCCUAGUUUGACUAUUGGAAAUUUGGGUUGGGUCUGAUUUGUUAUUGGGCUUAUUGGGCCGAUUGCAUUGGGUCAUUUAUUUUUUUUGUUUUGUUGGGUUUUGGGUGUUGUUUGGGUUUGGUAAUGGGUUUAUUGAUUGGGUUAGUUGGGCCCCGGGCAAAAUGGGCUUGUACAAAAGCUAUUCAACACUUUAUAAAAACAUUGUUUAUAAAUGUUAUAUUAUAAAAUUUAUAUUAUUUCUUUUAUCUAAUUUGCAUGAAAUAAUAGCAAUCGAAAUAUUAUAAAAAGGUUAUAAAGUUGGUUUAUCAUUGAACACAUAGUAAACUGAAAAUUAGAUUCAUAAAAACUAUUAUAAUUGAAGGAUUAUAAAGUUGAUUUGUGCCUCAAAUACUAGAAUGCUAAGAAUGAUGUUUGGGAGAGAAAAUAGAUCAAAAUUGUAUUUUAUAAAUAUAUUAAUAUUAUCAUCACCAUGCUGAUAUUUUAUUUGUCUCACAAAUUAUUUAAAUUAUUACAUGUUUUUAGGAAAUAUUAUGUGGUAGAUGUUGAUUAUACAAAUGCAAAAGGUUUUCUUGCAGUAUAUUACGGGGUACGAUAUCAUUUGAAAGAACAGAGCUAGACACAAGUACCAAACAAGGCUCGCAAACUCUUUAUUCAAAGCUUUGAAAUGUGGUUGAGAGGAUAUUUGUUGUUUUAAAAAAAUAUUUCUCAUAUUAACAAACCACAUCAAUAUAGUCUAAAAAACAAUGUUCAAUCGUUCUAACUUGUUGUAUACUUCACAAUUCCAUUUAUAGGUGGAAUUGGAAUUAUCAAUACUUUUAAUGAUACAAAUAAAAAAAAUGAUCUGGAUAAUCUUAAUGAUGCAUAUUCAAAUUUUGAUUUAGAUGAUGAAUGUUAAACCCACGCCACAUGGACACAUGUCAACUAUGUAGACAACAUUAACCCUCUCAUUUAGUCUACCUAAGAAGAUGUCUCGCCGAACCAUCCACUAAGAUCAAAGGAGCACCAACCCUUUUGAAAGGCUAGCAUCCUUUUUUUGGUGUGAACACAUCCUUGAGGCCAUUAGGACUUGCAUGGGCGUAUUAACCUUGUACUGAUCGAAUGAAUAACAUAAUGGGCCUCCAUCAUGAUUAUACUUUAUGUUCAUGAAUAUCCUUUACACAUUUGGUGGGACUGAACAUUUAUCCUGCCAUGUCAUGCUAAUGGACAAGAGGACCUCUCUUAUAAAUACUUUUCCACCACUCACUCCACCUUACCUCCUCCUUACUCCCCUCUAUUGUUGUACCUUGUAUCAACAAUGAAGAAAUAGAUCAAGAACUAAUAGAUGAUGAUAAGAAGUAUAUGUUAAAUGUUAGAAAAGGAAUAACCCAACAAAUAUGGAAUGCUAGAGCAAUAAUAAAGUUGCAUAUGAUGUUUAGUUUUCUUGUUCUUUUUUAUCGGCAAUCGUGCUGUUUGUUAUUUUCUUGGACUAACAUAACAUGAUUUGAUUUUAAUUUAUGUCACUUGUUUAAAUUUUUUUCUCAGGUGUUAUUGAUAACUAUUUAUAGUAAUUAAUACUUUUUAAACAAUUUAAAAUUUGUAAAUGUGUAAUUACAAUUUAUAUUACUAAACAAGGCACAAAUAAUUAUAAUAUAAUUACACUCUACUAGCCAAAUGCAUCUAGAAAAUUAUAAUUCUUUGCAAUUACUAGAAGGUGACAUUACUAUCUUAAUAAUCACAUUUUCAUCUCAUACCGCCGUGGCAUCAAAAUACACUUUACAUGUAUACAUGGAAAUACCCUGUACAUCGUGUGCCUAUACUAUGCAUGAAUGCAAAAUUAAUUAAAAAAAGACAUAUCAAUAGUUAAAGUAGGGCUUAAAGGUAUUUUUGAUUGUCGAACUUUUUCGAAAAAAUCAAUUAAGCCCUUGCAAACUUUUUGCACCCAACUGAGCCCUUAAACUAACAAAACUGACAAAAUAAGUCCUUUAACUAAUGUUGACCGAUACUUAGAAAAACAAAUAUCAAUAGUUAAAGAAGGGUUUAAUGGUAUUUUUGGUCCUCAAACUUUUUCAAAAAAAUCAAUUAAGCCCCUGCAAACUUUUUGUACCCAAUUGAGCCCAUGAACUAACAAAAUUGGCCAAAUAGGCCUUUUGACUAAUAUCGACCGUUACAAAGUUGAUGUGGCCAUUAACAACGCUAACGUUGUGCUUCAUGUUAGCGAUAGUUGGUUAUGUGGCAAUACCACGUCAACUUCCAUGUCAAGAAAAAUAAAAAAUUAAAAGGAAUAUUUAAACUUUUUAAAAGGAAUAGUUGCUGAUGACGUAGUACCAAGUUCAUUUGUUUUGAAGCUUAAAAAUUUUUUAAAUUAAAAAUAAUAUUUAAAAAAAAUAUGUUUUAAAAUUUUAUAAAAUUUUAAAAUAUUAUUAAAAUUUAUAAAAUAUUAAAAAAAUUUAAAAAAUUAAAAAUUAAUAAAAACCAUUUACAAGUUAAUUCUAUGUUUAAAUUCAUUCAAGUUUUUCUAAAUUGUACAAAGUUUAAAAAAUAUUAAAAAUUAAUCUUCUUUAAAAAAAAAUUGAUACGUGUAUCAAUGUUCUAAUUCCAUUCGUACAUUUUAGAAUGUAUAAAAAUUAAAAAAAAUUCAGAAAAUAAAUAAAAAUAAAUAUUAUUAAUUGUUUGUGUAAAGUAGUUUUAAAUGUACGAAUAGAUCCAAUUUUUUAAACCUUUUUGGCUACACAUGUGAAAUAAUAGAUACACUGUUUUAAUUGGAUAUAUUCAUACAUUUAAAAAAUCUUAAGACGUAUGAUUAAUAAAAUUUAAAUUAUUUAAAUUGAUAUAUAUAUAUAUAUAUAUAUUAUUCAUCCUAAGAGUUAGCAAUAGAAAAAUAUUGACACACAUAUCAAUUUUUAAAGAAAAUUAAUUUCAGUAUAUUUGAAACUAAUCAUGAAUGAAUUUGGACAUAUUCAUUAGGGACUUAAGUUUUAAAUAUUUUUAUUAAAUUUUAAUAGAGUUUUACACAUUUAUAAAAAAACUUAAUUUUUUUUUAAAUUUAAAAAAAUUUAAGUUUUGAAACGAAUGAACUUGGACAACCAUAUGUUUAGGUUCAUUCUAGUAAAAUAAAUUUAAAUAUUCCUUUUAAUUUUUUAUUUUAUUUUUAUUUUUGCUGACAUUGUAGCUAACUAUCGCUGACAUAGAGCGCCAAGUUAAUGUUGUUAACGGUCGUGUCAGCACUGUAAGGACCAUAAAAUAGAUGAAACACCUAUAAUUAUACAAAAAAAGGACAAUUUUCCAUAAAAUAGGUAAAUAGUUUUCCCUUUCAUUUGACUGAAAAAACUAUUAUGAUCUGUAUUGAAUCAAAAUAGUAGAAAUUAGAUUGAGUGUUUCGAUUGAAUUUUUUAUUCAACACAGAAAAACAAAAGAUGGAUUCAAUGGAGAAUCCAAGUAUGUCUUAUUUGUUGACAAAUUUAUGUUCAAAGACUUAAAAAUCAAGUGGUUGGCGACAAAUAAAAAGAGGGUAAUCAUUUUUGUUCCUAAUCAUUACAUUUUCCAGUUCUUUCAUGGUUCUUGAAUAAUUGGUUUCUCAAUCCGAUUCUUUUAUCUAAAUCGGCUUGUUUGUUCGCAAUCCCUUUGUGGGUAUUCCAUAAUUUUCUUUCUUAUUACUGAUUUACCUUGCAAUCUCUUUUUAUUUAUUUUUAAAAUAGAUGGAACUAAUAUAAGAAAAUUUUACAUUCUCUGUUCUAUUGCAUUAGUUUUGGCUUUCUUUAAUUUCAUUUUAGAUGGAAUUAUUUCACUUAUUUUUCUUUUAUUGUAUGUGUGAAAUCUUGUAUGGAAACUUGUAAUCUAUCACUCUAUCAUGAGUACUAUUGUUGUUGUUGAUAUAGAAUGGAUUCAGGUUGUAUACAUAUUCAGAAAAUGAAAAUCUUUCUUAUUAGUGAAUAUUGGAACCAAUCAAAAAUUGCCAGAAACAAAGGCUACUCAUUCUUAUAAUAAAAGGUAAGACUUAAGAUCAAAUUGUUAGAACGGAUCGUAGAUACUACAUCCAUCUCUGGAAAAUUUCUUGUCACUUUCAUUAGAAGUCCUCCUUAACUUGAUUUCUUGAUAUGCUUCUUAACUUGGUUGAAAACAACUUUUAGUAACUGCCUUAAAAGAGUGCUGAAACUAGGGCAUACUUUUUAUUAUCUUCUUUAUGUUGGUUGAUGUCACACAAUAUUUGUAUUGAAGGAAGGAACUAUAUUGAUUUGACAUUGUGUUUGUUCUUGUAAAUUUAUAUAUAUUUCUUGUGUUUGUAUAAAUGUAUGAAUAUAAGUAUAUAAAUUUUUAUGGAUUUAAAUUUAAAUUUUAAUAUGUCUGUCUGUUUACAUGGCUGACAUGGGUGGUAUUAUGUCAUUUGUAAUGCAAUACUUAGGCUCUGUUUAUUUACCAGUAAAAUAUUUUCCCUAAAAUAUUUUUCAUAUUUUAUUGUGUUUGUUUGAUGGAAAAUAAAUUACUUCAGAAAACAUUUUCUAAACCAAGGGUAAAUGAAAUGGCUUUUUAUGGAAAACGUCUUACCGAUUUUAUUUCGGUAAGACAUUUUCCAUUUUCCUCCACUCUAUCACAACAGUCGUUCUCCUUCCUCUUUGUCGAUCAGCCUCCGCCUCUCCUCCUCGUCUCUAUUCGUUGGCCUCACCUCCGAAUUUGAGUCUUAUUAUCUCGUCGUCCUUACCAAGUCUGCAUUUUGAAGAAACUCCAAAAUCUAGCUUUCCAAUCCUAUCAAGGUAUAUCACUAUAUUUUAUUUUGACUACUCUGUAAAUGAGCAUUUGGAAUUUCCUUCAUGGGGUUUAACUUGUUGCUUUUGUCAUUGUUGCUUUUCUCUUUGGCUAUUUCCCUGAUUAUUUUUGUUCUUCAAAGUUAUUGUAUUUUGGUUACUCUGUAAAUUCGUUGCUUUCUCCAUGGCCACAUGUGACGAGUUUCUCUUUUUCUCUUUCUAUGUGAUUUUUCAGGGUAAGCUGACCAAGAUUUUAAUUGGGGGUUUUGGUUGUUUUUCAAGCUUGGUUCUUGAAUUAGCUUUUUUUGGUAAUCUCUUGAAUUAGCUUUUGUGUGUAAGGGAAAGGGUAUUUGGUAUAUUUGGUUUUUGUUUUGUUAAAAGACUAGGAUUUUUUGGAAUUGGAAUUUGUUUCUUGAAUUGUUAAGAAUUGGGAUUCAAGACCGAUUGCCAUUUUGGGUUUUUAUUUAGUAUAUAUAUAUCGGAAAAUAUUUUUCAUUUUUUCAUUUGUUUAAUAGUCUGUUUCCAAUUAUUUUUUCAUUUUCCGUUUGUUUUAAACUCUAAAUGUUAACCUUUUGUUUUACCGGAGAAGAACAAUAAGAAUAUUUUGUUGUAAUGCAGCAUGUUUGACACUAUAAAAUGCUAGUUCGUCUAUCAUUUUCUAUUGUCUGAAGUCUGAACUUUUGGGGUAAAUGUGAAGAUUCUAACUGUGUAAAGUUUCAUGUCUCUUGAAGCGCCAUUGGCUCGCAUGCAUCUUGUGAUGUAUGCACUGUUGUAAGGCUUGAGUUAGCAUCUUCCAUCCUUUGCAGGCAAUAGAAGUUUGUUUAUACUAUACUGCAGUGAGAAGAAACCUGUAUAUUUUUGCCUUUGUACUUCGAUUCAGACAUGCACACUCCGACUUGUUUGAUACUUUCUAAUUAUGCUACCGUGUUAUAGACCAAUAAAGCUGUAAAUUUGCUUUUAGUAAUGUAAUGUAUCUAUGCAUGCAUGACAUGAUGCAAACCUUGUAGGGCCACUACAUUUUUUGUGCAUAUUAUGAUCUUUAAGCCUGAUGCUUUGCACUCUUUGCUUUGAGAUGUAAGCCAUAAAUUAGAUGUUGGAAAUGCUUAAGCCUGAUAGAUGCAUUCAUAACUUCUAAAAGUCCAGAAAACCUUUUUGUCCCAUCAUUUAUCUGACAUGACUUGUCUGAUUGUCUCUCCACAAAAUCAAUGAAGAUUUUUAGCAAUUAAUUAUCUUAUCAUUGCUUGAGAAACUUUCAUAUAUGUAUGUAUGCACUUUAGUCAUGGUAACUUGCAGUUAUUUCAUGUAGCUUAGGAGUUCCAAAUAUUAAAAUUUCAAAGUUGUGUUUCAAGAAAUUUGUAUAAAGCAAAGACCAGUGCGAUAUAUUUAUGGCGAGGGAUAAAUCCCUGCUUGAUGUACUUUAUUCAUUGCACAAUGAGGUAUGGGGAUAUAAAGAGUUGAGACAAUAAACUAUUUUGCCUUCACUUAUAGUUCUUUUGGUUCUUAAAGAAAUACAGCAGUCUCAUGAAGACAUAUUUACUAUGUAAUUUUGCCCGUUUCACGUUAGUAGCAUAUUCCCUCCUGGAUGGCUUUACUAACUACUAUUUUCUUAAAAGCCUUUCGUGAGUAUUUGGUAGAUAAUUCAUAUAUGAGGAGUUGUGCUUAUAUGUAUAACAAAAGAAAUACACACUACUUGUGCCGUGGUUGAUAAAUUCACCCUUAAUAUACUUAUAUUUUAUUUAUCUUUGAGUUGGUUUGAAAGAAGCACAAAAUUCAAGGAAGCAGCCAGCGAUGAUGUCUUAAUAUUUGGAUCAAUUUGCAGAAUUUAUGUCUUCUAAAGCAACCGAAUAAACAGGUUUAUUAAACAUUGCAAUUCAUUCCAUCAUAUAUAAAACCAGAGAUGGUCUACAAACAAAUUAUCAGAGCAUGAUAAACAGUAUCUAAUCAAAAAGCGCAUGGACUUCACACAUCACAAGUUUUAGUUUUGCCUCCAAUAUGCAUUUCACGGUUCAUGAGUUGUAACAAAGAGAUCAUCCGAAGAGGAAUUCCCAAGGAUGUAUGGCGAGAAAGGAACUCUUCACACACUUCCUUCAUUGUUGGUCGGGACUUCGGUUGUGGAUUUAAGCAAGCGAAUGCCAGUGUAGCAACAUGAACAAGAUUUUGUGUAACUAGUUGGCUUGUUGGAAGUGGUAAACGGUUGUCUAACACAUCAAUCAGCUUCAUGUUUACCAAAGAAGUUGGUGAUGACAACCAUGAUAACACUUCUUCAGGAUGCUUUCCCAUCAAUAUUUCCAGUGCUACCACUCCAAAACUAUAAACAUCGCAUUUUUCGGUGACAAUCAUUGUAUAAGCAAGUUCUACAUACACAAAUUAGUAAGAAGAAAUUCAAUUAUAUGUUCAGAGAAAAGGUCAGUAAAUCAAGUAAAAAAAGAAAACGCCACCUGGAGCUACGUAGCCACAAGUUCCGACAAUAAUGGUCUGAUUGGAUGAAUCAAGAUCCAACAUUCUAGCUGUUCCAAAGUCGGCCACAAAGGCCUCCAAACUUGAGUUUAAAAGAACAUUGUUACUUGAUAUGUCUCGAUGACCUAUCGGAGGGCAGCAAUCAUGGUGCAAGUAAGACAAAGCAUGUGCUAUGCCUUUGAUGAUCUUUAGUCUUUUCGUCCAAUCCAUUUCCACAGCAUUCAUUUCAUCCCUUAGGUUGCAGAACAAACUCCCUUUUUCCAUGUAUUCAUAGAUCAAAAACAUGGAUCGUCGGUGUAGACAAAACCCGUGAAGCUUCACAAUGUUUCGAUGUCGUAUUUCUGAUAGAAACUUGAUCUCGUUCCUGAAACUCCUGUCAAAAGUUGGAUUUUCGGCUUCUAAAUGAUGAAGUUUCUUCAAAGCAACUACUUUACCACAAGGGAGUUCUGCUUUGUAAACACUACCAUAACCACCAACUCCAAUACAGUAUCGGAAGUCGAAAUCCUCUGUUGCUGCAACGAUAUGCUCGUAUGCUAUCUUUCCAUCAUAGUUCCAUAUGGAACACAAAUCCCCAUUCUUGGUUGGUUGUACGUUGACAUGGUUAUUCUUGAGCUUAAACCGUGAAAAUAGCAAACAUCCUAAAAUGGAGAUUGUGAAUAAGAUCGCAAUAGGGAGGAAUAUUUUGAUAUAGUAAGGAAUUCUGCUGCUGGUGGCUUUUUUGGUAACUGGAGUAAGACACAUAUAGGGUGAUAAAUCACUAUUGCCUUCAAAUGGAUCGGGAAAAAUCUUUUGACAACCAUUUCCAGCGUCGACAAUGUAGAGAUGAGUAGCAGACAAGAUAGGGAUAGGACCUGAGAGUUGGUUGAAGCUAAGGUUUAGAUUUGAUAGAUCAAAAAGCUUGCCAAUUUCUUUUGGGAUAGAACCUUUUAAUAGAUUAGAAGCAAGGCUUAAGUACUGCAACUUUGAUAAACUACCAAUACAAGAAGGGAUUGAACCAGUCAAUUUGUUUUGGGAGAGGUACAACGAAGUUAAAUUUGCUAGAUCACAAAUUUCUUGGGGAAUAGGACCUUUUAAUAGAUUAGAAGCAAGGCUUGAGUACUGCAUCUUUGAUAAACUACCAAUACAAGAAGGGAUUGAACCUGUCAAUUUGUUUUGGGAGAGGUACAAUGAAGUUAAAUUUGCUAGAUUACAAAUUUCUUGGGGAAUAGGACCUUUUAAUAGAUUAGAAUCAAGGCUUAAGUACUGCAUCUUUGAUAAACUACCAACACAAGAAGGGAUUGAACCUUGAAGUUGGUUAUUAUCAAGGUACAAAAUUUCCAAAUUGGUUAAUUGGUACAGAGUAAUUGGUAUUGAAUCGACAAGUCUACUGUUGUAGAGAUCCAAACAAGUCAAAUUUCUCAAAUAUCCAAGUUCUAAUGGGAUAGAUCCAUUGAUUUGGUUCCCCCAAAGGAUCAGAGAUUGGAGACUGGUUAAUUGACCUAAAGCAGAAGGGAUUGGACCAACAAUUCUAUUGUUGGAGAGACUCAAAUAAGUCAAAUUUCUCAAAUAUCCAAUUUCUAAUGGGAUAGAUCCAUUGAUUUGGUUCCCCCAAAGGAUCAGAGAUUGGAGAUUGAUUAAUUGACCCAAAGCAGAAGGGAUUGGACCAACAAUUCCACAUUGCCUUAAGUUUAAAGUCACGAGGUUCUCUAGAUUCCCCAAUUGUG
rnacentral:lncRNA from 1 species